GAGGUUCUCUUGUUUUGGAGAUUAAUCUUUUAGAGGUUUUUCACGGAGGAGAUGUUGUGGAUUCUGAUCAUACUUUUGAUGGUCAAGUGUUUUGGAACUUGUACUCGAAUUGAAUAUUGUACGGUGAGAUAAGUUGAUGUGUGUAUUAAUGGUAUUAUCUAAUAUAAACAUAGGAUUGGACAUAUAGUUGUGUCAAUGUAUUGUGUAAUUUAACUACCUCUAGAUAAUAUUAUCGUUUGUGUAAUGAUUGUAAUUGAUGUUUUGUUGGAGGAUCCUUUAGUAUGCUUAUAAAAAGGAUUCAAGUGUGUUGUAACGAGCAGAGCUCUUCUAAGUCUAGUCCAUAAAUAAAUAAAAGAGUUGACUAUAAUGUAAUAUUGUGGGGUCUUCUACUGUGUCUAUAAAAGGAUCCAAGUGUGUUGUAAUAUGAGUAGAGAUUCAUGAAUUUAGUCUAUAAAUAAAUUAAACAAGUGUUUUAUAUAGUCCUUUUAUGAACAUGUAUGGUCUCAUUUCCUUCAUAAAGCAAUGUAUAGCCGUUGUGACAAAAUCUUAUUACUCAAGUUUACUCAUGAAUCCUUUACACAAAUGUUACAAAUGUAUAAUAACAAAAUUGAAAAGUCAUUUUCACACGUUACAAAUAUAUACUAACAAAAUUGAAAUAACAUUAUUACAAAUUAGAACAAUAUGUAAUAACAAAAAAUAAAUAAAUAAACUCGAGGCUUGUAAAGUUAAUAGUUUAUUUAAAACAAAUUAGAACAAUAUGUUUUAUAUAUUACUGGUGAAGAUGAAGAAGAGAUUCGAAUAACAAGAAAUAACUUAUUAGUUCGCUUCCAGAUGAAAAAGCUUGGUCAGCUUAAGCACUUCCUUGGUCUAGAAGUUAUCGAAUAGAAGAAGGGAUAUUUCUUUACCAACAAAAUUAUGCCAAAGACUUGCUGAAGAAGUUUGAAAUGAUGGAAUGAAAACUAAUCUCAACUCCAUUGGAAGUAAAUGCAAAAUUGUGCACACACGAAGGUAGAGAUUUACAAUAUAGAACAAUGUAUCAACAAUUGGUAGGUAGUUUAAUCUACCUUAUGCUGAAUCAACCGAAUAUUUCAUAUGUCGUAGGUGUCAUGAGUUGGUAAAUGCAAAAUCCAAAGAAGCUUCACUUGGAAGUAGUUAUGUGAAUACUAAGAUAUGUGAAGAGUACAAACAAUUAUGGUUCAUUGUGCAAGAAAGAUGAAAUUACAAGCUGACUAGCUAUUGUGACGCUGACUACGCCGGAGAUCAUGAUACAAAAAGAUUAACUACUAGGUAUGUUUUCAGAAUUAGGUCUGGAGUAGUUUUUUAGUGUAGUAAGAGACAACCAACUGUAUCACUAUCAACCACAGAGGUAGAGUAUAAAACAACAAUGAUGACAUCUCAAAAAAGCACUUGGUUGAUGUAGUUGAUCAAGGAUCUACACCAACUAGUAGAUUAUGUAUGCAAUACCACUGUAUUGCGAUAAUCAAUCGAUAAUCAACUUGGGAGAAAAUCUAGUUUUCCAUGCAAGAACUAAGCAUGUAGAGGUCCAUUAUCACUUCAUCAGGGAAAAUGUCUUACAAGAUAAAGUUGAGAUGCGGUACGUCAAGACAAACAAUUAAGUUACGGAUUUUUUUUUUUAUAAAAAGUCUUUGUACCAUGAAGUUUAAAAAGUUUCGUCAGCAGCUCAAUAUGGAUCGAAUGAUGAAACUUGGUUUUGAGGGGGAGUGUUAAAAGUGCAACACCAAUUUUAUGAUCCAAUUAAAUAACAUUUGUCCAAAUCCAAGUUCAUAACUCAAUCCAUAGAAGACUUAAGAAUUGUGUAGAGAACAUGGGACAUUUCUAAUCUAAAAAUAUUUAAUGAUGAUGAAAAUAUCUUAUUUUAGAAAUCUCUUGAACGGUGAUAUUUAUAAAAUGUGAUUGUUAAAUUUUUAUAAUUUAAUGUUUUGUGUGGUUUGUAUUAGUUUUAGGAUACUAUAAAUACCGCUAAACUCUUUGUUGUAGGCAUCAAGAGAGGAGUGAAGAAUUAGUAGGAAGAAAGAAGAGUGAGCCGUGAGUAUCGUAGUGUUUUUCUUAUAAAAUAUCAAUAAAAUCCUUUAAUUUAGUAAAAUUCUUCUAUUUCUUAAAUAUUUUCAGUCUUAAGCAGCUUCGUCCUUCUUUCUCAACAAAAGCAUUCCAUUUAGUAUAUGAAAAGAAAGUUGUGAGUUUGUGAAGAGAGAAUAAUUAGAAUAUCUUUUGCAAUUGUUAUUUUCCCAAUUUUAAGUAACAGAGUUGCUUUCUCCUAGUAUAAGAGAGAUUGUAAUUGUUCUAUCCUUGUAUUCAAAGAAAAUUGUUAUAAUCCUCAUUUGAAUAGUGAAUUCUUUCUACUUUUGUUGUGGAUUUUUAACCCGGUUUAUUUGGAAUUUUUUCCACUUAAAAUUUGUGUGUCCCAUAUAUCUUCAUUUGUUCUUAAUAUCACUUUGGUUUCGGUCUGAUACGGUCCUUAAUUUCCUAAUAGAAAACAACCGAAACCAUCCAAUAACGAGAGUGAUCUCUGAAAGCUCCAUUGCAGAACAUGGAUAACCGCUGCUUCGGCCAUCUGUAUUAACUUUUACCCAGCCAUGCACUAUCGGGCAAAUUUUAGCAAAAUAUUGAAAAUGAGAGGUAUAACCAACUUGUAUUAGAUGAAAGGAGGAUGGGGUGUUUUCAUAUCGUAGCUCUGUCACGGCAUCGAUGUGAAGAAGAUGAGUUGGUCAUGUCUAAUUAACAAAAAAAAAAAAAAUCCUUUCUGCUAAUCCCAAUUUCAAAGCUUUCUUGUGUCGGACUUUAAUUCUAACUUUGUAAUAUCACACUUUCAAUGGUUAUUUUACCUUUAUAUUCACUAUUGACUUAUAGGGGUGAAAUGAAUAAUUAAAACUCUAUUAUGGAUAUAAAUAACAAAAAAGAAAUUUAUGUGUCGCGGAACUGGUACUCAUAUGAAAAUAACAUUUGACAAUAUCGAACCAUUGGAGCACUAAAUAAAUUAUAGCAUUAUAUAAAAGGGGAUUUGAAUACAUGCUCAUGUUAUGCCCUACGGACUUUCUUUUGUAUUUGUUGGCAAAAAUUUGCAGAUCGUAGAUAUUUGCCCCUAAGGUAACAAAACUGCAAAAGCAUUUCGUGGGUAACAAGUAGUCGGGCUUUUAUCUAGAAUAUCUUUAUUCUUCCAUACCAAUAAAUCACUUAGAUUUUAUGGGCUACGGAUGGAAAUUGUUAAAUUCAUUAUUUAUAGAGUUUGUAUUUUAUGGCAAGUCUAGUUAAAUUAGAAUUUUAUUUAUUGUAUAUUUUGUAAUAGUGAUUAAUUUAUUAAUUCCCUAAUUUAGUGAGAUUUCAAUUUAUUAAGAAUAUUUAUUUCCUAAUUUAAUUAGAUGGCUAACUUAAAAAGUCAAUUAAUGAUGUGAUUCUAUAAUUGGCGCAUGAGCUCUAUUUUGAGUAUGAAGUCAGUUCAAACAUGAAGUUUAUUAAAUGAUUUAGAUAUUUCUUGGAAGACAAGCAAUGUAAGAAAAUUAGAUUUAUUCCUAUUCAGAUUCAUAGGAAUUAUAAAAGAAAAUAAACUCUUAUUUGGAAAGAAUCAAAAUCUUUUAAGAGUUAUUAUUUUUGUGAAAUCCUAGUGCCUAUAUAAAGAGAGGUAUUUCACAAUUGAAGGUGUGCAACACGGAGCAUAAAGCAGGGACGCAAAAUUCGGCAUUCUCCCUAAAGAAUCCUAAUUUGGCACAUAAUAUUGUGUUGAUUUAUUUACUUAUCUUCUUUUCAUAUUUGUGUAGAGUCUAUGUGAAUUUUGGAUCACUAGACAUUAAAAAAUUAAAUAAUUGUUAUUGAUCACUUUGCGAAGUGCGUUAAGUAUCGUGGAUCAAGAGGGGUAGUAAUUAUUUAAGAAAAGCAAAUUCAGUCUGUACAAUGAUAAACUGUAAAUGAGAGUUUUAAGUUUGAUAAAUCUAUGGUUGUAACAUCUCAACUUAGUGAAUUACUUUUCAUCUGAGCUUGACCUCGUGGAUGUAGAAUUAAUUAAUCUGAAUCACGUAAAAAUCUCCGUACCAUUUAAUUUCUGUAAUUUAUUGUAUUUUUGAAAAAUUAAUAUUUUGAUGCGGAUAAACAAUAACCGUAAACAUUAACUAUAAACAAUAAGCGUAAACAAUAAUGAUGAAUAGUAAUGGUAAACAAUAUUUCCGAAAGUUAAUUAAGUUGUUAAUUUUAAAUUUUUAAUUACCUACAUCUAAAUUGCCUACAUUUAGUGCAAUUUUGAAAGGUAUUAAAUUGGCAGCGGACUUGGGGUUUCUUCCGCUACUGAUAGAGUCCGAUUCAGUUAAUGUCAUUAGUCUCAUCUCAGGAAAAAUUAACAGCCAAUUAGAGAUUGAUUGGCUAAUAUCUGAUAUUAAAAGUUUUAUUUGUAAGAAAAGUGUUUGCUAUAAGACACAUUCCCAGAUCCGGUAAUUCAGCAGCUCACAAAGCUGCAAAAAUGGCUCUUGAUCAUGCUGAGUCGCGCACAUGGUUACAGGAUGCGCCUCCUGACAUUGUACCUCUCUUGUAAUGUUAUGGUGUAAUCAAUGAAAAUUUUAUUGUAAAAAAAAAAAUCCUUUCAGAAAUUAAUAUAUACUAUUUUAAUGUGGAAAAUCCCUUCAGAAUUAGUUCGAUAAAUACAAUAUUCAUCCAGUUACCGCAGGCUAAUAAUGCUCAUCCUGGAUAACUCAUGUCGCUUUUUACAUAUGCUGUAAUCUAAUUGGUGUGAUUAUCUUUGUAGCCCUACCUUCUCACUUGGCCAGAAUCGAGGUUAUAUAUGGUCAUGCAAUUAUACAUGAAAAAAGAAUAUCUUUCCAGUAGUUCAUUUUCCCUUUCACAUAGAGCGUACUGAGGAUAUAUAUAUCGGAAACCUGAGAAAACUAAUGAGAUAUUUGAAGGUUAAAGGGGAAGCCGGCUCCGUUAUUAAAAGCAAACUUCUUUAUUUAUUUAUAGACUAGAGUCAAGGAGCUUCACCCGUUACACACUUGAAUCCUUUUUCUAGGCACCAUAAAGGAUCCCAACAAUUAUACAUUACAAGUCAUUACCUUUAUUUAUAGACCAGACACAAGGCGCUCUGCCCAUACAACAUACUUGGAACAUUUUUAAAGGCACACUAAAAGACCAUCCACAACAAAACAUUGAUUCGAUCAUUACACUGGAGGUCGCCUUUUCAUCGGAAAUUGAGAUUUACCUUACCAAGAGGUAAUAUCAACGUUACACAAAACAUGACAUAUAACAAUGUCUAAUCUUAUAUCUAGAUUAGAUUACACAGUACACACCAGCUUAAUUAUCUUACAGUAGUAUUCAAUUGGAAUACAAAUGCCAAUACACUUUACCAUCAAAAGUAUGAUCAGAAUCCAGAACAUUUCCAUGAGGUACCUCUAUAAGAUUAAUCUGCAAAACAAGAGAACCUCCUUCCUGCACAUGACGAUCUUUAUACAGUUCAUCUAAUUGAACCAUAGUUCUAAGGCCAUGAAUAGGACGAUUUUUAUCAAUAGGCCUAUAACCAUUAGUAUAACCAGAUGCAACAACAUCAAAAGAUACUUCAGCAUCCAUAUUAUUGGCGGCUGCAGGAGGCAGAUCUCCUCUCCAAGCAUCCUCGUUAGCUCUGGGAACAAAUAGGACGGCCCAGGAAACAAUAGGAGCCCAACUUCGACCAAACAAACCAAAAUCCAUCCUAUUCAAGUCCUUCAAAACACCAGGAUCUGCAUAACGCAGAAAAAAGUAGUCUGAUUUAAAACCUAUCAAUUUUCGCUGAUCACACGCCAUAUCUUCCGUGAUUAAUGAAAAAUAAGCGCUCAGAAUCAGAUCACUUGCCUCAGAAAUUAUUUUCGUUGCUCUGUCACUCUUUUUUCUGCUGCCGUCCAAAGACAUUUUCACGUCUAUUUAUGCAAGGGAGGAAUUCGAACACAAACAAAUCACAAAUAAUUAUUAAUUAAUUAUAAUAGGACUCUUAAUUAAUGCAUUCCAGCAUCUCCUUCUGCAACGUGUCUGGCGACGUGGUUUUGUCUUCGUCUGUGCUCCGCCUUUCAUUUCUUGGAUAUCUUCAUCAUAGGUAUUAGAGCCAAGUUAAGGUUAGGUAGAUGAUACAAGUCCUCUUCAAAAGGAUUUUGCUAGUAUUAGAGCCUAGUAAUGUAAGAUAUAAUCUCUCGUAAAAUUGUGGGCCUAAGUGGAACCUAUAACUAAAUUUGUAUGAGACUGUACCUUACAUUACACGCUUCCUUUAACAAUUGACACAUGUUAAUUAAUGCAUUCCAGCAUCUCCUUCUGCAACGUGUCUGGCGACGUGGUUUUGUCUUCGUCUGUGCUCCGCCUUUCAUUUCUUGGAUAUCUUCAUCAUAGGUGUUAGAGCCAAGUUAAGGUUAGGUAGAUGAUACAAGUCCUCUUCAAAAUAGCUCUCUGUCACAAGUGGUUCCGGUACGUAGAUCCACGUCUUCUUUUGCAGCGUGGUUUGGCCUUUUCAGUUCUUCUCAUUCUUUGAUUUCUUCGAAUAGUUAUCUACAUCGUGUUUACAGGUUGGGUAAGACUAAGGAUUGGGUUCGCACAGUUCUAAUAUUUUGAUUGGACCAUCCUGCAUCUAUCUCUUAUUUAGUUUAGCAUGACUUAUUUAACAUCAUAAAUAUUUAUUUAAUUUUAUAAUUUUUUAAAUAUUAAAUAAAUUAUUUUUUUAUUAGUAAAAUUUUAAAUUUUGAGUUUUUGAAAAUAGAUUGAAAAAUAUUUUUAAACUAUUAAAAUAUUAUUUAUUUAUUUAAUUAUUUUAUUUCAUUUACUUUAUAACAUAAAUUUAAAAAAAUUACCUAUUAAAAAAAUUUAUAAUUUCUUAAUAAAAACUCUUAUUGAUAGUCAAAUACCUUAAAGUUUUAGUAAAAGUUUGCUUGUAAAAGAUUUAUUAACAAAAGUUAUGCCGAAAUAAGUUUUAUUUGAAAAAUUAUAUCAAGGCUUGAUUUGGUAUCAAAAGAAAAUUAUCAUACACUUAUAUUUUUAUAUUAUCAUUUAAAACUGAAGAGAAGAGUAAAGAAAGAUCAAACCAGAGUGAAGAAGGGUUAACAUAAAAUGAAAGAAAAGCCUCGGGCAUUAUACUAUGAUUUGGGAGAAUGAUGCGUUAUUUAGUUUUGGUGGGUGUAAAAGGAAAACGAAGCUUAAUAAUAUGAGCUUAAAACUCAAUUAAAAUGAGUUUAAUGAAGGGUGGUUUUAGCAUUUUAAAGUGCGAUCAUAGUUAAUUUUAAUUUUUGUAAUUUAUUGAAUAAACUAUUUGCAAUGAAUUAAGAAAAGUAAUCAAUAAUUAUAACAAUAAAAGUAAUUAUUAUUGAAACGACCCACCUCGAACUUCAAGAGCAAAUCUAUCUAAUUUCUUUUAACGUGAUUAGUAAAACGUAUUUGCUAAAAUUUUCCAACAUGCAAAUCUGCAAAACAAACACUUUCAAAAUAAUUCAAUACACAACAAAAUUCAUUGAUCAACCUUCUCAACCAUGAUAUUGAAUAUCACCUAAACACUUAUAAAGUAUCAAAAGAUUAUAUUAUAGCUAAUGUCAACAUAUAUUAAACAUUCAUAAGCAUCAAAUCAUAAUACAAUUAUACAAUCCAAAAUGAGAUGAUCUAAAUGCCCUAAUAAUAUCAUUUAUAUCUUUUAGCACCAUCACGUGGCCAAAAUUCAAAAAUACUACAGUCGUUGGGUCGAUUAAUGUAUCCACAACCUUCUGUGGGGGAAAAGUAUAGUAAAAUGGGAUGAAUAUAAAACUCAAUGAGUGAAUAAUAACUUUUGAAAAUAAUAUAUUUUAAAAUAUUUAUAUAUUUUCAAUAUACUAUUUUCAUCAAACUAUAAGUAAGAACAUAGAUGAAUUAUUCGAACUUUAAAUCAAACAACUGUCGUUUUAAUUUUAAAGUGUGAUCGUAGUAAAUUUUUAUUUUGUUAAUUUAUUGAAUAAACUAUGUACAAUCAAUUAAGAAAAAUAAUCAAUAACUAUAACAAUGAAAGUAUUGAUUACUGCAACGACCCACCUCAAACUUUGAGGGCAAGUCUAUCUAAUUUCUUCUAACGUGAUUAGUAAAACUUAUUAAUGAGGAUUUUGCUAAAAGUUCAUCGACAGAGUCUCCCCCUAUAUUUAUAAAAUUUCUAACAUGCAAAUCUAAACACUCCCAAAAUAAUUCAAUACACAACUUGAAAUACUAACUAGGCAACCCAAGAGGGGGGGUGAAUUGAGAUUUUAUAAAUUAAGUUAAGCAAACACACAACAAUUCAAUCUAAUGCCUCAAUAAAUUCGAAAACAAUAAAUUCAAUGAAAGCACAAUAAUAAAUGAGCAAGGGAAGAGAAAGCAAACUCAAUGAUUUUUACGUGGUUCGGCAAUCCCCGCCUACGUCCACGCCUCUUAGCAUUUUCAUUUUUGAGCUCUACCAUUUUCUUUUUAAGACAUGCAUUCUUUUUACCAAUUUUCAUACACUCAUCAUGCAAUUCUUUAAAAGUAUCAUGUAAUUCAUCAUAAGUAGGAAGAUCAUUUACCUAAUCAAGUUCAUCAUUCGAUUCAUCUCCAAUUGCCAUAAGAGCUAGAUUUGUCAUUUCUUGAUGCUCUUCAUCAUCACUUGUUUCCUCCUCGCUAUCAUCCCAUGUGGCUACCAUCGCUUUCUUCUUGAGCUUGUUGAGAAGAGGGCAUUCCGAUCUUAUAUGGCCAGGUUUCUUGCACUCAUAACAUUUGAUUACUUCAUUCUUCUCCUUUUGGUUCUUGAGGUCUCUAAAUUUUCUUCGCUCACUGGAUUUCUUAAAAAAAUUUCUAAACUUCCUAGCCAGCAUAUCCAUCUCCUCCUCAUCCAGCUCGCUUUCCUCAUCACUCUCAUAUUUCGAGGCUUUGAGAGCAAUACUUUUCUUCUUCUCCUCAUUGCCUUUUUCGGCUGCCAAGUCUUCCUCAUAAGAAAUAAGAGAACCAACUAAAUCAUCAAUAGGUAAGAUAUUUAAAUCUUUGGCUUCCUCAAUGGCAGUCCUUUUUUGUCUCCAUUCCUUACAUAGCGACCUAAUAAUUUUCUUAACUUUCUCGCUAUUUGAAAAAGUCUUUCCUAUGGCUCCUAGAGUGUUCACUAUGUCCGUAAAUCUAGUAUACAUAUAAUACACACUCUCAUUUUGUUCCAUUUGGAACAAUUCAUAUUGUCGAGUGUACCUACUAAUUUUAGACUCUUUCACUUGAUUCGUGCCUUCAUAAACAACUUCAAGUUUGUGCCAAAUUUCAUUAGCACUCUCACAACUAGAUACUCUAUGAAAUUCUUUCUUAUCUAGUGCACAAAACAAGGCAUUCAUAGCUUUGGAAUUUAGAGUAGCUUUUCUCUUUUCUAAUUCAUUCCAUUCCCGUGAAGGUUUUGGAAUAUCUUCCCCGACUUCAUUUUUAGUCAAAGGCAUAAAAAGACCAUCACAAACAACUUCCCAAAUUUCAUAAUCAAGUGCUUGUAAAUAAAUUCUCAUCAUAGUUUUCCAAUACGGGUAGUCAUUUCCGUCAAAGAACGGUGGUUUAAUUGUGGACUGUCAUUCUCUAAAGGUUGAGUCAUUAUGGGUUGCCAUAGAUCUUUAACUCUAGACGGUUAAGUCUAAACAAGAGCACCUCGCUCUGAUACCAAAUGAAAUACUAACUAGGCAACCCAAGAGGGGGGUGAAUUGGGAUUUUAUAAAUUAAGCUAAAAAAACACACAACAAUCCAAUCUAAUGCCUUAAUAAAUUCGAAAACAAUAAAUUCAAUGAAAGCACAAUAAUAAAUGAGUAAGGGAAGAGAAAGCAAACUCAAUGAUUUUUACGUGGUUCGGCAAUCCCCGCCUACGUCCACGCCUCCAAGCACACCGGGUUUGAGGAUUUCACUAUUCGAGCCUUUCCAAUGCUUCAAUCGUUUACAAUUGACUUCAAGGUGUCAAUGAACCUUUAAAACAAGAGAUUAUCUCUCCAAUCUCUUCACCCCAAGUGUUUCUCACACUUGUACACUCACAAUUUGAUGAGAAAUAAAAAUUACAACAAUGAAACUCUCUUUAAGAGUGGAUAUACAAAUUGAAGAACAAAGAUGAUUUAAUAAAUGAUGAUUUACGAAAUUGAAGCUCAAUAUAUGUUGUGUGCACUUGUUUUUGCUUGCCAAGAUUACCAAAAAUGAAUUGGUUUUGAGUUUAUAUAGUUUGAGCUCAAAAACUAGUCGUUAUGCACUUUUUGGUCAUAACCGGCUUAUUGUUUAUGGAAUCCGGUUAGCCGCUUGUAUGUUACCGUUACAGCCAAAAUUUAAAUUUUUGAACAUCCAGUAUGCCGCUUAUAAAAUCCGGAUAGCCGUUUAUGCUCUAGAAGCUUACUGCCCAACAACCAUAUUACCGUUUGUCAGGAUCCGGUUAGCCGCUUUCAAUUCGGAUAGAUUCUGCCCAACAUCCGGCUUAUCGGUUUUUCACAUCCGGUUAGCCGCUUGCUACAGUGACUGCUACAGUGAACUAUUUUAUAAAAUUAUAGUUUAACCCCAAAACUUUCCAUAACUGUACUAGGGCCCAACACGUUAUAAAUUUGGCAAAUAGGUCCAAUUUCAGAAUCUCUAAAUAAUAUUUACUAUUCUCAAAACUUUUUAAAAUUAUGAUAUGGCCCAAAAUAAUAUGAAACUGUUCAAAUAAGUCCUUUUCUAAAAUUUCAAGUAAUACUUGUUGAUUUCAAAGUUUUUAAAAUUCUUUCAAUUAAACCAUAAACUUGAAAAGCAACCAAUUUCAUAAAAUCAUUUUUCUAUUAAAUAUGAAACCUUUAUAAUGAGAAAAUAAUGAUUUAUUUAAAAAGUAUAAAAAAUAAUUUGAACUUAAAAGAUUAAUCAUUCUUAAUCUUGUUUGUUAUCAUCAAAAUCAACAUUAUGGAAACAUAUAUGUUAACAAUCUCCUCAUUUUUUAUGAUGACAAACAUUUCAUGUAUUUAAAGAAUGAUUCCGCAAAUUGCUCCCCUAAAUAUAAUCUUCUCUUACAAUUUGCCAAUUAGCUAAAUUAACAGAUUUAAAUAUAUGGAUUUUUCUCCCCCUUUAUCAUUAAAAAGAAAACUUAAUUGGCAAAGAAAAAGAGUAGUAAAUUUUUAUAAAUUUAAAAAUAUGUAUUAUUCUCCCCCUUCAUCAUCAAAAAGAAAACUUAAAGGAAAAGAAUAAGAGUAGCAAAUUUAUUACUCAUGUUUGUCCAAGUAGAAAUUUCAACACAUUCUCCCCCUAACAACAAGCAUUACCUUAAAUAUAAGUUUAGUAAUAUUACUCCCAAAUUAUUAUAAAUCAUGAUACAAGCCAACUCCAUACACAAAUCAUCACACCAAAAUAUCAUGAACCAUUAUUCCAUUAAUUACCAUAUAAAACAACUAUGUAAUUAAUCAUCAUUAUCUCAAAAUCAUUAUCAUAAUCAAAUAUCAAUCAUUAAAAGAAUACUCAAAGUGUAUAUUAUUCUCCUCAUUUUAACAACAUCGAAAUGAUAUAUUACUUUGUCUCCCCCUUUGGACAAUAAAAAAGUUCAAAAUGCAUAUUAUUCAAAAUCAUAUUAUAUGAUCCCCCUAAAUAUAUGACCAAUUUAAAAUUUUAACCAAAAUAAUUUUAUCCCAAAACAUAUCAUAUUUGUCUCCCCCUAUCAAUCAUCAAAACCUCAAAUCAAGCACAUUAGUUCAAAAUUAUCCAAAACAUAAGUAAAGAACAUAACAUAUAACUAUAUCAAAUCCAUAUAAUUCAAAACAGACACAUAAUCCAAAAUCAUAGCAAACAUCCAUAUAAUCCAAAUGCAAAAUAAAAGAAAAAUAAAAUAGUAAAUGUUGGUGUGUUCAAAUACAAGUAUAAAGGAUUUGAAGUGAAAAAUGAUGAGAUUGAUGGAUUUUAGAGAGAUCUUGCGUGAGAGAGGAAGCGAUUUUUAGUGAGAGAGUAACCGAUUGACUGAAUGAAGGAGAAGAGGAUGAACAAAAUUUGAAUGCCCGAAUUUGGCUUACCGGAUUUCACUAACCGGUUAGCCAGUUGGGGUCCAGUGAGUGUACAACCUGAAUUCGGGUUUCCGGUUUACAUAACCGGUAAUUCGGUUAACUCCUGUGAUGAAUGGUCACGAAUCCGGUUAUCCGGAUAUUCCUAACAUGUUAAUCGGUUGGAGGCAGCAAGUAAGCAACGCGAAUCCGGUUUGCCGGAUCUCAUAACCAGCUAUCCGAUUGUGUCCAACAAGCAUCAAACUAAAUCCGAUUUUCCGGAUUUCAUAACCGGUUGACCGAUUCUUUCCAGAAACCAAAUUCUCUUCAAACGAGUUAUUGGUUUUCCAAUCCGGUUAUCCGAAAUAUGACUUAGAGAAUAAUCAAUAAAAAGGAUGGUUUUCCGGUUGAUUAAAAGAGGUUUAUCGGUUAAAAUAUAGAGAAUAUUUUUGAAGUUUAGUAAACUCUUAGACUUGUAUUACACACACCAAUUUAUUUUUAGCUUAAAAAUUGAUCAAUUUUUGAAUCAUUUUGAGAUUCAAAAUUUUUCAAUAAGUCAUUUAAUGCAUGAGACAUAAAUGUAUACAAGACCAAACAUAUGAAAUCGUAUCAAACAAUGAUGUCAAUUUUAUAAAUGAAUGAUGAUAUAAACACAAUUAAUGGCAUAUGAAUUCACACAUAUAUAAGAGAUGGACAAUGAUGAUAGACAAUUAAGAAGAUGAAAUCAAAGACCAUACAAUCAUCAAAAUCAAACAAAGACAUCAUGAUAAAUCACUCAAUGUUAUACACAAUGAUAAUUCCAUCAUGUAAACAUACAAGCAUACUUUCGCAAAUUCAUUUAACAUGAUUCAUUCAACAAAAUUAAUAUGGCAAGAAUUGUUACCAAAACAAUUAAAUCAUCUUGCCUCAUCUUUUUCUCCUAGAUCAUACUCAAGUGAUUAUCCUCACAAGCUUUCAUCAAGGAACUUCUCCACCAUUCCUUGAUUGUGGUACCUACAAAGAAAACAUUCACGUUGUGCCCUUUGGUACCCAAAUACUCUUGGGUCCUUGAGUGUUAGCAAUGGUUCCUUUUGGAACCCAAACACAUUUUACUCCAUAAUAUACUUUUCUUUUAAUAGGACAACCAAGCUUCAUGUGACCGUUUUGAUUACAAUAAUGACAUACAACUUGAUUGUUAAUAGAUGUACUCUUCACAAAGUAGUUCUUAUAAUACUUUUGUUUCAAAUUUGGCUUAUAACCAAGUUCUCCUUUAUCAAACACACAUUUUUGUGAAUUAAUCAAGUUAUCCAACAUCUUUUGUCCAUUUGUAAAUUUUAAAACAAUCUCAUUUAACUCAUUGCUCUUCUUCUUAAGCAUUUCAUUUUCCUUUUUCAAGUCAUCUAUGUGAUAUUCUAUAUGCUCAUGUGAAGUGCUAGGUUUCCCAUUUGAUAAUGCAACUCUAUCAUGCAAUGUUUUAUUCUCUAAUUCUAGGCAUGUAAUCUUUGCACAUAGAGAUUCAUUUUCAUUUUUGAGCUCUACCAUUUUCUUUUUAAGACAUGCAUUCUUUUUACCAAUUUUCAUCCACUCAUCAUGCAAUUCUUUAAAAGCAUCAUGUAAUUCAUCAUAAGUAGGAAAAUCAUUUACCUCAUCAAGUUCAUCAUCCGAUUCAUCUCCAAUUGCCAUAAGAGCUAGAUUUGUCAUUUCUUGAUGCUCUUCAUCAUCACUUGUUUCCUCCUCGCUAUCAUCCCAUGUGGCUACCAUCGCUUUCUUCUUGAGCUUGUUGAGAAGAGGGCAUUCCGAUCUUAUAUGGCCAGGUUUCUUGCACUCAUAACAUUUGAUUACUUCAUUCUUCUCCUUUUGGUUCUUGAGGUCUCUAAAUUUUCUUCGCUCACUAGAUUUCUUAAAAAAAUUUCUAAACUUCCUAUCCAGCAUAUCCAUCUCCUCCUCAUCCAGCUCGCUUUCCUCAUCACUCUCAUAUUUCGAGGCUUUGAGAGCAAUACUUUUCUUCUUCUCCUCAUUGCCUUUUUCGGCUGCCAAGUCUUCCUCAUAAGAAAUAAGAGAACCAACUAAAUCAUCAAUAGGUAAGAUAUUUAAAUCUUUGGCUUCCUCAAUGGCAGUCCUUUUUUGUCUCCAUUCCUUACAUAGCGACCUAAUAAUUUUCUUAACUUUCUCGCUAUUUGAAAAAGUCUUUCCUAUGGCUCCUAGAGUGUUCACUAUGUCCGUAAAUCUAGUAUACAUAUAAUACACACUCUCAUUUUGUUCCAUUUGGAACAAUUCAUAUUGUCGAGUGUACCUACUAAUUUUAGACUCUUUCACUUGAUUCGUGCCUUCAUAAACAACUUCAAGUUUGUGCCAAAUUUCAUUAGCACUCUCACAACUAGAUACUCUAUGAAAUUCUUUCUUAUCUAGUGCACAAAACAAGGCAUUCAUAGCUUUGGAAUUUAGAGUAGCUUUUCUCUUUUCUAAUUCAUUCCAUUCCCGUGAAGGUUUUGGAAUAUCUUCCCCGACUUCAUUUUUAGUCAAAGGCAUAAAAAGACCAUCACAAACAACUUCCCAAAUUUCAUAAUCAAGUGCUUGUAAAUAAAUUCUCAUCAUAGUUUUCCAAUACGGGUAGUCAUUUCCGUCAAAGAACGGUGGUUUAAUUGUGGACUGUCAUUCUCUAAAGGUUGAGUCAUUAUGGGUUGCCAUAGAUCUUUAACUCUAGACGGUUAAGUCUAAACAAGAGCACCUCGCUCUGAUACCAAAUGAAAUACUAACUAGGCAACCCAAGAGGGGGGUGAAUUGGGAUUUUAUAAAUUAAGCUAAAAAAACACACAACAAUCCAAUCUAAUGCCUUAAUAAAUUCGAAAACAAUAAAUUCAAUGAAAGCACAAUAAUAAAUGAGUAAGGGAAGAGAAAGCAAACUCAAUGAUUUUUACGUGGUUCGGCAAUCCCCGCCUACGUCCACGCCUCCAAGCACACCGGGUUUGAGGAUUUCACUAUUCGAGCCUUUCCAAUGCUUCAAUCGUUUACAAUUGACUUCAAGGUGUCAAUGAACCUUUAAAACAAGAGAUUAUCUCUCCAAUUUCUUCACCCCAAGUGUUUCUCACACUUGUACACUCACAAUUUGAUGAGAAAUAAAAAUUACAACAAUGAAACUCUCUUUAAGAGUGGAUAUACAAAUUGAAGAACAAAGAUGAUUUAAUAAAUGAUGAUUUACGAAAUUGAAGCUCAAUAUAUGUUGUGUGCACUUGUUUUUGCUUGCCAAGAUUACCAAAAAUGAAUUGGUUUUGAGUUUAUAUAGUUUGAGCUCAAAAACUAGUCGUUAUGCACUUUUUGGUCAUAACCGGCUUACUGUUUAUGAAAUCCGGUUAGCCGCUUGUAUGUUACUGUUACAACCAAAAUUUGAAUUUUUGAACAUCCGGUAUGCCGCUUAUGAAAUCCGGAUAGCCGUUUAUGCUCCAGAAGCUUACUGCCCAACAAUCGGAUUACCGUUUGUCAGGAUCCGGUUAGCCGCUUUCAAUUUGGAUAGAUUCUGCCCAACAUCCGGCUUACCGGUUUUUCACAUCCGGUUCGCCACUUGCUACAGUGACUGCUACAGUGAACUAUUUUAUAAAAUUAUAGUUUAGCCCCAAAACUUUUCAUAACUAUACUAGGGCCCAAAACGUUAUACAUUUGACAAAUAAGUCCAAUUUCAGAAUCUCUAAAUAAUACUUACUAAUCCCAAAACUUUUUUAAAAUUAUGAUAUGGCCCAAAAUGAUAUGAAACUUUUCAAAUAAGUCCUUUUCCAAAAUUUCAAGCAAUACUUGUUGAUUUCAAAGUUUUCAAAAUUCUUUCAAUUAAACCAUAAACUUGAAAAGCAACCAAUUUCAUAAAAUCAUUUUUCCACUAAAUAUGAAACCUUUAUAAUGAGAAAAUAAUAUUUAUUUAAAAAGUAUAAAAAAAUCAUUUGAGCUUAAAAGAUUAAUCAUUCUUAAUCUUGUUUGUUAUCAUCAAAAUCAACAUUAUGGAAACAUAUAUGUUAACACAACUAACUUCAUUGAUCAACCUCCUCAACCAUAAUACUGAAUAUCACCUAAACACUUCUAAAUUAUCAAAAGAUUAUAUUAGAGCUAAUGUCAACAUACAUUAAACAUUCAUAAUCAUCAAAUCAUAAUACAAUUAUACAAUCCAAAAUGAGAUGAUCUAAAUGCCCUAAUAAUAUCAUUUAUAUCUCCUAGCACCAUCACGUGGCCAAAAUUAAAAAAAAAAAAUACUACAAUCACUGGGUCGAUUGGUGUACCACAACCUUCUUCAGGGGGAAAGUAUAAUAAAAUGAAAUGAGUAUAAAACUCAAUGAGUGGAUAAUAGUUUUUGAAAAUAACAUAUUUUAAAAUAAUUAUUUCUUUUCAAUACACCAUUUUCAUCAAACUAUAAGUAAGAACAUAGAUGAAUUAUUCGGACUUUAAAUCAAACAACUGUCGUUAAAAGAAUACAUGAUAUUAUACAUAAUAUACAAGGAAAUCAUAUCAAAAUAUAAUAUAAAAUACUUGAUUAUGAAAUUGUCACUAAAUAGUACCUAAGUAAAUAAUCUUGUCAUUCUCGCACCUCUUAUCGAUGGUGAAAUGACGUACUAUCUGAGUACUAUCAUGUCCGGAGCUAGAACGAGUAGACCAAUGGCAUGCUAUCUCAUAUAUCUCAUCAUAUCUCCUUAUAUUUCAUGUAAAAAACAAUCCCUACAGGACAAAAACACCCAAGCACACAACCCAAAAUCUUUGUGUAUAUUCAGACGGGACCCAAAGAUCUCUAGCUCAAUUGUAAUCUCUACAACUGAAUCUAUAUCUCUGUAUCUGAAAAUGUAUCUAUAGGGGAGGAGUAUUGUCAAAUGAUUUUGAAAACAAACUCUUAUACACUUGUAGAUAAACAUAUAAUCAUACUUUAAACUUCAUUUCCUUUUUCAUUAACAUACUGUAAAUCUAUUUUUCUUUUCUUUAAAAUACUCUUAUGCGUUUACUCAACAUAGAGAAGCAAAAGUAAUCAUCAAAUACGCUUUAACAAUAUAUUAAUACAUAAAUAAAACUCAUUUAUAAAACCAUUAAAUCAAAACAUUAAACUCUUGUUUCAUAUGCAUGCGUUACUUUACUUAAUUUAAAAAUCAUAAUAAAUUAUAAAGAUGGGUUUAGUAUAUUCCAUUUGCAAUGAUGAUGCUCAAGCUCAACUAUUAUCGACAUCCGCAGAUUGACUCACGUUUAUGGCUCCUCUAAAUUGUGGAACGACAUAAUUACUUUUUUGAAUAUAUGAAAUACAACUAGCUUUAAGCAAGAUAGCUCUCAAUGAAUAUUUAUCCCACAAUGUACAACUCCCGAAACCAUACUUGUAAGAUAAAAAUGACCAUAAUAUACUCAAAGCCAUAAUUUACACCUUAUACCUAAAAUUCCAUACUCCUUAAAUUUUUCAUAUGUUAUAAUACUAAUAAAUCUUCCACAUUAUCAAAAAUCUCAUAAUUAACCAUAACCUACCUAAACAUGAUGCAUAACUAUAAGCUAUUUACAUACCGAAAUGAGGGAACGAUGAGGGCUACGCGUUUCUAGGUGUACAAUGCCUCAUUGGUGCCCUUGUGCAUCUAUAAUAAUCCACUAGUUACAAAACUUAGCUUCGGACAAUCUUUACCCAUUUGUUAGAAACCUUAACUAUAAAUAAAGUAUACAAAUCUUUAAAUUAACUUCAUUCCCAUGAGAUCCAACUUCGAAUAAAGAUAACAUGAUAGAAAUCUUACUUCCUUUGGUGAGAAAAACCAACUUGGAAGCUUGAAUCACUUCCUUCUCACUUAAAUCCCCUCUCUACACUUACAUUUAAAUUCCUCUUUAAUGGAUGUUUUCAAAAGAAUUUAGGGACGGAAACACUCUAGAAUAACUCUCCAUUCCAAGCUUUCCAAGAUCCAAACUCAAACUUUGAAAAAUUUCCCCAUUUUUCUCCUCUUUCCCAUUGCUCCUCUUCUCCUUUUCUUUUUUGCCUUUUUUUUUUCAAAUCAAUACAUAUAAAAUCCAAUGGAGACUAACGGGCUUUCAAGUAAGGGUGGAUGUUCAAAUUGGUAUUUGUUUUAUUCUUUAUUAAUCUGGCCUGGAUUUGAGAUUUUGGAACUAUAAGUGGCUGGUUACUGGGAAAUUUUUGAAAAUGAAAUUGUUGUAACCUAAAUUGGACCCAAACUGAAAUUGAGACCUAAAUUUUCAAACCGAACCAAUCCAAAGUUUGAUCCCAAAUAGAACCGAGUCGAACUAAAUUCGGUUCGGUUCUGUUUGGGUUCAUGUUUUGAACCUAAUUGGGUUGAAUACUCUAACCAGAUCAGGUUGUAACCUAACUGGAACUCGAACAACCCGAAUCGAAACCCGAUAUGCCCACCCCUAUUUUAAAGCCUACAGACCAAUGGAAGAAAUGGAAAGAAAAAAUAUGUUACAGUUAUUAACUUGAUUCUUGGGCAUUAUAAUCUCAAUAUUUAACAUGAUUUUGUUUCUCAUAUUAGUUUCUAUCUUCUGCGUUGAGACCUAGAGUCUUAUUUAUGUUGGCAUCUUGUAAGGGUUGGCAUUCUUAUUGAAUUGUAAUUCAUAAAUUGAAGGCUAUGUUAAUUGGGAGAUUUCUUAAUUUAGUUAUUUUCUUAAAAUUAGGAUUUAAGUCUUUUCAUUUUAAGGAUUUACUUAGAACACAAAGAGUCUAAUUUUGGAAGCAAAUCAAAAUUAAAAAAAAAAAAAAAAGGCUCUCUAUAACUUGUUAUAGAAGUUAUACAUUGAAGAUAGCUCAUCACAAGCAGAAAAAUAGAAUUUUAAGGUCGAUUGCUAUAAAUAGUAUUAGAUGAACAAUAUUAGUUAAUAGUGUCUAUUGAAACUAUUCAUUGAACUUUAAUCUUUAUAGGGUAAACGCUUAUUUAGUCCCUAUAUUUUCACUCAAAUAUAUGUUUAGUCUCACAUUAUAAAAUAUAUCUCAAAAUACUCAUAUAGUUAAAUAUGUUACACUCUUAACCUUUUUUAGUUUUAUGAUAACACCCUUCAAACAACAUUCUUGACAUGAAUUAAGGUAUCUAUAAAAAAAAGUUAAUUAGCAUCUUAACCAAUAAUUAAUUAUUAGCAAAUUAAUUAACAAAUACCACUGUGAAAGAACUAAUAUUUUUGUACUAUUGCAAGAAUCUUACUAAUAAUUAUUUAUAAAUAAAUUAAUAUUAGCCAACUUAAAACAAUGUUUAUUAAUAUCUUUACAACAAUUUUAAUAAUAAUUUUUUUAUAAAAAUUAAUUUACUAAAUUAAUUCUAAAAGUAAAAUAAUAAUAUAAAAGUUUGGAUAAAUUUUUAUGUUACUUUAAAGAUAAAUUUUGGUAAAUUAACAAUUUUUAUUGAUAUCCCAAGAAUAUUGUUGCAAGAGUGUUAUCAUAAAAAGAAAAAAAUUAAGGGUAACAAAUUAAGGGUAGGAAUGAAACAUAUUUGACCUCAUGGGUGUCUUGAGAUGUGUCUCUCUGUGUGUAACACUUAAAUCAAAAUAUAGGGAUUAAAUAAGUAUUUACCUAUUUUAUAUUCAUCCCACUCUUAGACAUACUUUUGGUGUGUUUCGGAUUGAGGUUGAGCAGCUGUAGCUUUUAAGCUACAACACUAAAGUGUUUGGUAAACACUAGCUGAUGUACCUUGAAAGUUAUGUUAAUAUGAUUUUUCACUUGUAUAAUAAAAAAUCUAUUAUAUCUUUAAUGAUUUUUUCAAAAUUAUUAUUUAAAAUUUAUAUUUACUAUAUAUUAUUGAUUUUUGUUUUAUAGUUACAGUUUUGUUUCCAUAGCAGUUGUAGCUUAAAAGUUAUAGCACCUCAAUCUCAAACAGGACCUUUGUUAAUUGGUCUCUCUUCGUUAAUUGGUCUCUUCCAAAAAAGAUGUUGUUUGGAGCAGUUAAGGAAUUUCAUAUCAAGGUUAUGAACAAGAAGACAAAUGGUUCUCGCAAAUUACAUAUGCCUUAGUUGACUGAGAUGGCGGCAAAAGUAAAUUUUCCUACAUAUUAAAAUACUAAAUGUGAUAUAAGAACCAACUAUAAGCAAGUUAAAUUGAUGAUUUGGUAUAAUUACAAUAAUUAUUAUUUUUAAUUGAUCUGUGGGUUGAAAUGACUAUAUAAUCAUUCUUAAGUGCGAGCAUCCAUUUUUUUUUGGGAAAAUGACAAACACACCCCCAACGUUUAGGCAAAGGGAUAAAAAACCUCCUAACGUUUUAAAAAAGACAUUUACACCCCAACUUAUUAUAAUUUUACCAUUAUACCCUUCUAGCAUAUAAAAAAAAUUAUUAGAUUAUCUAAUUUGUCUAUAUAUUGUUAAUAAAAUUAUAAAUAGAAAAAUUGGAUAUUAUUAAAAAAAUUAUAAAUAUACCCUCAUUGCCCAAAUCUUCUAUUUAAAUUUUUAUCAAUAACCAAUUUUCAAAAAAGACAUCUAUACACCUAAAAAAUUAUAAAUAAAUUAUAAUUUUAAAAAUAAAAUUGGUUAUUAAUAACCAAUUUUAUUUAAAAUUUAAACUUUUAUAUUUAACAAUUCUCCACAUGUCAAUCAUUUAAACCUGUACAUUUAUAACCAAUUUUCUAUGUUAUUUAUUAUGGUAUUAAUAACCAAUUUUAUUUUUAAAAUUAUAAUUUAUUUACAAUUUUUUUUAAGUGUGUAGAUGUCUUUUUUGAAAAUUGAUUAUUGAUAAAAAUUUAAAUAGAGGAAUGAUGCAAUGAGGGUAUAUUUAUAAUUUUAUUAACAAUAUAUAGACAAAUUGGAUAAUCUAAUAAUUUUUUUUAUAUGUUAGAAGGGUAUAAUGGUAAAAUUAUAAUAAAUUGGGGGUGUAAAUAUCUUUUUCAAAACGUUAGGGGGGCUUUUGUCCCUUUGCCUAAACGUUGGGAGUGUGUUUGUCCUUUUUCCUUUUUUUUUUUUAAUACGGAUACACUCUUAAACUGUAUAAUUAAAAAAGAUACGUUUUGAAAUAAAUUACAAUAUUGUACUGUUUAAAAGAAUUAAAAACUAACUCUCUUUAAUUUCACAACUUAAAAACGUAGCCAAAAGGAAAUUUUAGGGUGGCGGCAUUGAAAAAAAACACAUAUAUUGCUUAUCAAAUCUAAGAUUAAAAUUCGGAAUUAAAAUUUGAGACGGAUAUAAAAUAUCGUAUAAGUAAUUUAGGAUGCCAUAAAUUCAUACUGGUGUCUAGUUCUAAACUUUAUCUCCAGAUUUCAAACAUUCAUCGCUUUGUGGCCCCUAUUUUCUUUGUUUUUCUAACUUUCUUCCGGUGGCGGAGCCCACCAUUGGAAGAAGUUAAUUUUUUUUUUGACAUUUUUUUCAUUGUCUAGCCCACCACCUUGUUUGACUCUUCUCUGGAAAAAGUUACUUUUUUGGGUUUUUCAAUAUGCUAUAAUUUUUUUACAGCAUCAAUAAUAUUUUUAAUUGUGUAUCAUUAAAUUUAAUUAAUGAUAUAUUUAAUCAAUGGUAUAUAAUAUUUGUAGUAAAAAAAAAUAAUAAACGGUUAUUAAAUGUGUAAGGGGUGGAGAAUUUUAUAAAAUAACUAUGACCAUCCUUAGAGUUUGAAAUAAUUUCACUUAAAUAGCAUAUUUUAUUUAAAAUUAUUUUUCAAUCCUCCUUUAAAUUUGAAUUGUGAUAAUCUUUUUUAAAUAAAUCUUCCAAAAUCUAUUACCAUGAAGUAUAAAAUAUAAUGGUAGGUUAUUUAACACAAAUCAAAUAAAUAAGUUGCAAUUAUAAAAUUUAUAUAUGAUAUAAUAGUAAUAAAUAACACAACUAAGUACAUAUACUUAAGUAAAUGCAUAGUUACAUCAAUAAACUCAUUGUUGAGAUUGCUUGUAACAUAAAAAUUACUUGAUCACACAUGUUUUAAUAAAAUUUAAUAUCGUAUAUUAAAAUACUUAUUAUUUUAUAUAAUAUUAAGGGUCAUUGUAUAAUUAAUCAUGAAGUGUGUAUUAUUUUUAACACCCAUUUAACAUGCUUAUUCUCUGAACUUUAUAUUUAUCUUACAAUUAAUAUCCUUACAUGGUAGGAAUUUUAAGUUUUAUAAGCCUAUAUAUUUUCAUUUUAUUUUCAAAUAUCACUUUGUUAAUUUCAUAAAAGUUAAAUCUAAUAUAUAUUCCUAAUGAGCUUUAGUUUAUGAAUCGUGAAAGAUUAUUUUAUUGAUAUCAUUUGAUUGUAAUUAUAAAAUUUUAUGUUAUUAAGAGUCAUUACUUUUGUUAUGAUAAUUAAUUGUGACUAUAAAUAAAAUAUUGUCUCCAAUAAUAUUUACGCAGGAAAAAAAGUGAACGAAAAUCAUUUGUAUUUUUAGAUUUUUAUUGACAUGGUAGGAAAUUAUCUCAGCCUUAAAACAUUUAACUUUCACAAGCUUGUUUUCAUUUUAUUUUCAAAUGUCACUUUGUUAAUUUCAUAAAAAUUAAAUCUAACACAUAUUCCUAAUUAACUUUAGUUUAUGAAUUAUAAAAAAUUAUUUUAUUGUUAUUCUUUGAUAGUAAUUAUAAAAUUUUUAUGCUACGAAGAGUCAUUACUUUUAUUAUGAUAAUUAAUAGUGACAAUAAAUAAAAUAUUACAUCAAAUAAUAUUUAAUGGACAAAAUGAGGAAAAAAAAUCAUUGUAUAUUUUUAUAUUUCCAUUAUAAAGAUAUGGUUUGGGAUACUUUAACUUAAACUUUUGGCACACUAGUUGAGCAACUAAUAUCUCAUAAUCUAAUGGUUGAUAUUGAAAGUCAAAGCAACAUUUCAUAAUAUUAUAUCUUCCACCAUUGAAUUGCAUGAAAUAAAUAGUUUAAUUUUUUGAUAAAAAUUAAAAUCAAAAUAUUUCUCACUCUAUAGUUAUAUAGACAUAUAUAUUUUUCAAUAAUAAUUGGUGAAUAAAAUAUUUCUCAUUUGUUGUGACUCAUAUAGUAUUAUUAAUAAAACACAUAUAAAAUUGUUUAUUGCAAUGCUUUCUAUUAUCAUUAUUAUUUAGGUAUUAAUGGUUUGUAAUUAAAUUCAUACAAUACAAAUUAUUACAAGACUUUGUGUUAAAUAACCUACUUGAUAUUAUAUUUUAUACUUAAAGGUAACUGAUUUUGGAAGAUUUAUUUAAAAGAGAUUAUCAUAUUACAAAUUUAAAGGAGGGCUGAAAAGUAAUUUUAAAUAAAAUAUACUAUUUAAGUGAAAUUAUAUCAAACUCUAAGGGUAGUCACAAUUAUUUUACAAAAAUUAUCCACCUACUUGAACGGUUACCAUUAUUUUUUAGUACAAAUAUUAUAUACCAUUGAUUAGAUCUAAUGGUUCACAAUUAAUAAAUUAUUGAUGCUGUAAAAAAAUUUACAGCAUCAUAGAGGAACCCUGCUUUUCUAUAUUUUUUUCAAUGUCGAACCUGCCGAGCCCACCAACAUGUUCUCAUUUUUUUUUUUUUUUGGCAAACCCUUACAUACAUUUAAUGUAUCUUACACCAAACAAUGAAUGGACGCCACACCACUCACUGUGUGAGUGGUUAUAAUAUAUAUUAAGGCCAUGUUUGCUUGGGGGUUGAGAAGUGAGGAGAGGAAAAGAAUUUAAUUUUUUUUAUAUUUUCCAUUGUUUUGUUGGACUAAAUUUAAUGGAAUUGAAUUUUCAUUGAAAUUUAAUUUCCAUCAAUUUGAAGAAUUUGUAUUCCUUAUCAAUGACUAAGGAUAUCAAAUUUCUUAUCUAUUUAAACACAAAAAAUCUAAUAUUAUCCUCUAAACAAAAUCAAUUUUAAAUAAAUGAAAGUAUAAAUAAUUUAUAUUUAUUUUAUUAAAUUAAUAGGAUAAAUUUAUUUGAUAAAAGAAAAAACAGUAAAGUGACUCACCGGAAAGUCACCGAAGACACGCUGGAGUUUCGCCGAAGACGCGUUUUUCCAUCAAAACCGGUACCAAUAGAAUUCUCAUGAGCCGAUCUACAACUUUAUGGGGUUAGAAAUGCUAAUAUACAUUGUUAUUUACCUCAAGUCUUGUUUAAAUACUUGAGAAAAUUUUAACUCAACUAUAUAGUGUAUUUUCUUCAAAAUUAACAUUUCCAAUGAGUAAAUCGUCCAUUUUUUUUAUCAUUAUUAUGUAUUUAACACGAUGAAAAAUGGUAGUCAACUAUGGUCAACGGCGCCGGUCAAUGACGAUCAACAGAGGUCAAUGCGGCAGCUGUUCAUGCCCAAAUGCUGUAAUUUUUUAAAAUAAAUUUUUUUAUUUAAUUAAGUAAUUUUUAGAUUAAAUUAAUUCAUAGUUUAAUUAUGUUUUAAUUUAUUAACAAUAUUAACAUUAAAGAUAGUGGGUAUAUUUGUCCAAAUAAGAAAUAUGUAAUUUCUUUUUCUUUCAAAUUUUAUGUGAAACCAAAUAAUAACAAUUAAUUUUUGCACUCUUUUCCUCUUAUCUCAUCUCUAUUCCUCACAUUUUUUCUCCUUUCGUCUCCUCCCCUUUUUUAAAACAACACCACAUAAAUGUAUGUUAGAGGAAUCUUUUUUAUUUUAUUCAGCCUUUGAUUUCCUUUCAUCGGUGGGGUAGGUACUUUUAAAAAGAAAAUUAUACUUUAAAAAUAUUUUCAACAUUUAUUUUUAAUUAAAUAUUAUAUUAUCAAAUUACUCUUUAUGAAAUUUACCGUUAUAGACAAUCAAAAUUACUAGAUAAAAUUUUAUAAUUGUGUCAAAAAAAAUCGUUUUUUAAUUUUUUUUCAUUUUAAUUUUCUCCUCGACUUCACUGGUAAAUAUUUACUCUAAAAAAGGGUGGCUGUUAAAACAAAAAUAAAUAAAUAAUUGGGCAUUGGUUUGGAUAAGAUGGACAACAUUUAUUGGGACUCUAUAUCAUUGGGCGGUAGAACUUGGAGGUUGGACCGUUGCACUUUUAAUAAAUUAAUCUGUAAGCAGUUUUUUUUUUUUUAUUGGCUGAUAUAUAACAAUCAGAGCUCUACUAAUAUAAUCAGACGUCAAUCGGGUACUCUUCUCAAUAAUCAUAUUGUAGCACAGCUCGAAUAUCGACUCAUCGUUUAAAGCUGAAGGGAGAUCUACCAUCACUAUUAAUACCGGAGGGGAAUCAAUUCUACCCCAGUGUGGGGAGAAAAAAACAACGUCCAAGUUCUCAAUAAUUUUAGUGGGAACAAAAGUUCAGUUCAUGACCAUGAAAUUAAUCGGAGUUGUUCCGAUGGUUACCGCAAGAGUGUUGACGUUUGAAGAAAGAGAGCUUGGGCAAAAUAAAUUAAUUUUAGGGUAACUUUGGGAUUUUGAUGAGCGUGUAUAGUAAAAAAUUAUAUUUUAAAUUUGACAGUGUAUUGAGUAAAUGAGUGUCUAAAAUAAUAUUUAGAGUAUAAAUAAUCUCACCUAAAAAAAUUAUUUACUUUAAUAAAGACACAAUAAUUUACGUGAUUCGACUUAAAAUCUACAUUUACGAGCAAAAGCUAAAAAUAACUUCAUUAAUAAAUAAAAAUUUACCAAAUUAAGAAAAAAUACCCUCAAAACUCAAAAUCCCAAUAUACCCAAUUAAACCAUUAGUAGAACACUCAAAUAAAAACACUAUUCAAUUUCUCAAAUUACUUCCCUUAUAAUUACUUUCAACUUUCACACUUUAGGAUGAUCUUUAAAUGACAAACUGCCCCUCUGUCUAUGCCUCUAUGGGAGUGCGUGGCUCAACUAUCUCUCAAUUUUGGUAACUUGUCUAGUCCACCGAAUUCGGAACCCAAUCUUGUGCCGCCAUUUCUUAACAAGCUCUCCAAAUGCAUUAAAGUGUCAAGUAUUUCAAUAACCAACUCUCUACAUUUGUUGGCAAUUUUCAAUGUAUUUAAUUCACUUUUUUUGACUUUUCAACACACAGGAUGUGGAGAAAAAUAAUUAUGUUUUCGUUCUAUUUUUUUCAAUAGUUAGUAUGAUAAUCAGCCAAAUAUAUACAACAUACCAUUCUAUAACUCUGAUACUUUGUAAUAUAUACCAAUCAAGCCCCAAGUCUAAGACUGUCUCAUAAAACUAUUAAAAAAUUUGAACCUAAUACUUCAACGCAUCACUAAAAUGUUUUUUAAAUUAGAUUUUAUUACUUUUUAACGAGUCAUAUCAAUCAAUAAAUUUUAAAAGACUUUUUAAGUGAGUUUUUUUUUUUUUAUUGAAGAGAGAGAAAAGUGCUAUCUCAUUUGAAGGGUUUUUUAAAAUCUUAAAUUUAUUCUACUGUUUCUCAUAAUUUCAUGAAGAGAAAGAAGUAUCAUAUUUGCUAUUGUUUUUGUAGAGAAAUUUUUUGAUUAAAAUAAUAUAUUUAUACUUUUAUUUAAAGAAUCUUUUAAUUUUUUUCCACUCUUUCAUUUACAAUAUAUAGUAAAUAAAUAUUUAAAAAAAUUAAAUUUAGAAGAAUAUUUUAGUGAUCUUCUUAGAUCUACUUAGUGUCUGUUUGGUAUAAUUUAUGUAAUGCUCAUAAGUAUUUAUUUAGUCUCAUAAAUUCUUAUCAUAAUUUUUAUUACUAUUUAUUUUUUUUAGAGAUUUUAUAGUUUAAAUAAGUUAUUUUAUUUCUACUAGUAAAAUCUCAAAUUAGGAGUAGAGAUUGAAAUUUUUUUAAAUAUUAAAAUAUUCUCUACUAAUUUGACUUUUUUUCAUAACAUAACUUUAAAAACUUACCUAUUAAAAUAAUUUCAUAAAUUUUUAAUAAAAAUUCUUAUUAACAAUCAACAACAAAAAUUUUUUAAGUAAAAAUUUUGUUAUCAAAAACUUUAUUUAAAUAAAUUUUAUUUAAAAAAUUAUAUUAAACGGAGCCUUACCCUCGCGAAUCGCGAUACCAUAACUAUUUUGAAGAAAUCGAAGAAUGGAAAGAAUUAAAAAGGCAAAACCGCGUUGUAAAGGAGGACGUGGAUCAACGUACCGAGGCCACUAAUGACAAAUAGCUACACCUUUUGAAGUAGACUCCCAACGUCUACCUAACCUAAACGGGUACAGAGACCUUUUGUUUUUUUUUUACAAUAGGUACAGUUACGUAUGACUGAAGAAAUAAAAAUAAUAAUAAAAAGCAUAGGGUAGAAGAAAACAAAGCUACCCAUUGGCUUCGUGUUGCAACUCUGCAACAGAAUGUCAAAUCGACAAUGAAAUUUCUUUGUCCAUUUUUCACGUGCACAACCAUAAAAAAGAAAAAAAAAUAUCAAAAUUAUAUGCAUAUGCUGGUGGGUCCCUUUUCAAAUUUGACAAGAGGAUUUUAAUUUCUUGUGAAAUUUGUGUUACUUCAAAUCAUUUUAUAGAAAUUAGGGAUGGCAAUGGGGAGGGGAGGGGAGAGGACCAAUCUCCCCGUAUCCAUCUCUGAUAUUUUGCGUAUCUCUCCGUCUCCUCCCCAUCCCCAUCAUAAUUACUUGAGAGAAUCUCAUUCUCCUCCCCGAAUAAUAACAUGGGGAUUCCCGAGGGUCCCCGAUCUCCGAAUAACUAAUACAUAUUUUUUAUUUUUUAUUUUUAGUUAAUUCUAUUAAAAUAAAAAAUUCAAACAAAAGUAAAGUUCGAAAUAUAUUUUACAUUAACAUUGAUUCAUUAUAAAAGUCACAUGCAAAAUACAAAUUAUCAAAAUAAUUAUCUUUAUCAAUCUUCAUAAUCCUACAAUAAAAAGAAAAAGAAUUUACUUUUAUAUCAACAAUAAAAUAAAUGAAAUAAAUGUAGAUACUUAAUUAAUAUUUUUAAUAAAACAAAAUUAAAAUUAAAACAAAAUUUUUGGGCUAAUAGAAUCUAAAACUUUAAUUAGUUAAUUAGGCCUAAAAGUUGAAUAAUAUAAAUAUUUUAAUAUUUGUUACUUUUACCAAUAUUUAUAAUUUUAUAAUAUAAUUCAAAUUUUAUUAUUUAUUUACUAGUAAUUUUAAAAAAUAAAAUAAAAUUAAAAAUUAAAAGAGGGAAAUGGGGAGGGGAUGGGGAUUCCACUUCAUCCCCACCCGUUCCCCGAAUAAGAAACUUGGUAAAAAAAAUUCCCCAUCCCUUCCCCGUAUAAGAAAUUGGGUAUAGAAUUAUCCACGUACCCUCCCCAAAUGGAAAAAAUCCCCGAGAGUACCCGCCUCCGUGGGGAUUUUUACCAUCCCUAAAAUUCCAUUGGCUUCGUGUUGCAACUCUGCAAUAGAAUGUCAAAUCGAGAUUGAAAUUUCUUUGUCCAUUUUUCACAUGCACAACCAUAAAAAAGAAAAAAAAAAUAUCACAAUUGUAUGUAUAUGCAGGUGGGUCCCUUUUCAAAUUUGACAAGAGGAUUUUAAUUUCUUGUGGAAUGUGUUACUUCAAAUCAUUUUAUAGAAAUUAGGGAUGGCAAUGGGGAGGGGAGGGGAGGGGACCAAUCUCCCCGUACUCAUCCCCGAUAUUUUACGUAUGUCCCCGUCCCCUCCCCAUCCCCGUCAUAAUUACUUGAGAGAAUCUUCAUCCCCUCUCCAAAUAAUAACAGGGGAUCCCCGAGGGUCCCCGAUCUCCGAAUAAUUAAUAUAUAUAUAUAUAUUAUUUUUUAUUUUGAGUUAAUUAUAUUAAAAUAAAAAAUUCAAACAAAAGUAAAGUUCGAAAUAUAUUUUACAUUAACAUUGAUCCAUUAUAAAAGUCACAUGCAAAAUACAAAUUAUCAAAAUAAUUAUCUUUGUCAAUCAUCAUAAUCCUACAAUAAAAAGAAAAAGAAUUUACUUUUUUAUCGACAAUAAAAUAAAUGAAAUAAAUGUAGAUACUUAAUUAAUAUUUUUAAUAAAACAAAAUUAAAAUUAAAACAAAAUUUUUAGACUAAUAGAAUCUACCCGACCUUUUUAAUGUCCUAAAUAAAAAUUUAAGACUUUAAUUAGUUAAUUAGGCCUAGAAGUUUAAUAAUAUAAAUAUUUUAAUAUUUGUUACUUUACCAAUAUUUAUAAUUUUAUAAUAUAAUUCAAAUUUUAUUAUUUAUUUACUAGUAAUUUUAAAAAAAUAAAAAUUAAAUUAAAUUUUAAAAUAAAAAUUAAAAUGGGGAAAUGAGGAGGGGAUGGGGAUUCCACCUCAUCCCCGCCCCUUCCCCGAAUAAGAAAUUGGGUAUAGAAUUAUCCCCGUACCCACCCCGAAUGGGAAAAAUCCCCGAGAGUACCCAUCCCCUAAUGGGAAAUUGGGUAUAGAAUUUAUUCUACUUUUUCUCAUAAUUUCAUGAAGAGAAAGAAGUAUCAUAUUUGCUAUUGUUUUUGUAGAGAAAUUUUUUUGAUUAAAAUAAUAUAUUUAUACUUUUAUUUAAAGAAUCUUUUAAUUUUUUUUCCACUCUUUCAUUUACAAUAUAUAAAAGUAAAUAAAUAUUUAAAGAAUUAAAUUUAGAAGAAUAUUUUAGUGAUCCUCUUAGAUUUACUUAGUGUCUGUUUGGUAUAAUUUAUGUAAUGCUCAUAAGUAUUUAUUUAGUCUCAUAAAUUCUUAUCAUAAUUUUUGUUACUGUUUAUUUUUUUUAGAGAUUUUACAGUUUAAAUAAGUUAUUUUAUUUCUACUAGUAAAAUCUCAAAUUAGGCGUAGAGAUUGAAUUUUUUUUUUAAAUAUUAAAAUAUCUAAAAUAUUCUCUACUUAUUUGAUAUUCUUUUCAUAACAUAACUUUAAAAACUUACCUAUUAAAAUAAUUUCAUAAAUUUUUAAUAAAUUUUUUUAUUAACAAUCAACAACAAAAAUUUUUUUAAAUAAAAAUUUUAUUUAUAAAAAUUUUGUUAUCGAAAACUUUAUUUAAAUAAAUUUUAUUUAAAAAAUUAUAUUAAACGGAGCCUUACCUCGCGAAUCGCGAUACCACAAUUAUUUUGAAGAAAUCGAAGAAUGGAAAGAAUUGAAAAGGCAAAACCGUGUUGUAAAAGAGGACGUGGAUCAACGUACCGAGGCCACUAAUGACAAAUAGCUACACCUUUUGAAGUAGACUCCCAGCGUCUACCUAACCUAAACGGGUACAGAGACCUUUUGUUUUUUUUUUUUUACAAUAGGUACAGUUACGUAUGACUGAAGAAAUAAAAAAAAAAAAAAUGAAAAGCAUAGGGUAGAAGAAAACAAAGCUACCCAUUGGCUUCGUGUUGCAACUCUGCAACAGAAUGUCAAAUCGACAAUGAAAUUUCUUUGUCCAUUUUUCACAUGCACAGCCAUAAAAAAGAAAAAAAUAUAUCACAAUUGUAUGUAUAUGUUGGUGGGUCCCUUUUCAAUUUUGACAAGAGGAUUUUAAUUUUUUGUGAAAUUUGUAUUACUUCAAAUCAUUUUAUAGAAAUUAGGGAUGGCAAUGGGGAGGGGAGGGGAGGGGAGGGGACCAAUCUCUCCGUAUCUAUCCCUGAUUUUUUUCGUAUGUCACCGUCCCCUCCCCAUCCUCAUCAUAAUUACUUGAGAGAAUCUCCUUUCUCUUCCCGAAUAAUAACAUAGGGAUUCCCGAGGGUCCCCGAUCCCCGAUCCCCGAAUAACUAAUACAUAUUUUUUAUUUUUUAUUUUUAGUUAAUUCUAUUAAAAUAAAAAAUUCAAACAAAAGUAAAGUUCGAAAUAUAUUUUACAUUAACAUUGAUCCAUUAUAAAAGUCACAUGCAAAAUACAAAUUAUCAAAAUAAUUAUUUUUGUCAAUCUUCAUAAUCCUACAAUAAAAAGAAAAAGAAUUUACUUUUAUAUCGACAAUAAAAUAAAUGAAAUAAAUGUAGAUACUUAAUUAAUAUUUUUAAUAAAAUAAAAUUAAUAUUAAAACAAAAUUUUUGGGCUAAUAGAAUCUAUCCGACCUUUUUAAUGUCUUAAAUAAAACUUUAGGACUUUAAUUAGUUAAUUAGGCCUAGAAGUUUAAUAAUAUAAAUAUUUUAAUAUUUGUUACUUUUACCAAUAGUUAUAAUUUUAUAAUAUAAUUCAAAUUUUAUUAUUUAUUUACUAGUAAUUUUAAAAAAUAAAAAUAAAAUUAAAAAUUAAAAUGGGGAAAUGAGGAGGGGAUGGGGAUUCCACCUCAUCCCCGCUCCUUCCCCGAAUAAGAAAUUGGGUAAAAAAAUUUUCACAUCCCUUCCCCGAAUAAGAAAUUGGGUAUAGAAUUAUCCUCGUACUCUCCCCGAAUGGAAAAAAUUCCCGAGAGUACCCGUCACCGAAUAAGAAAUUGAGUAUAGAAUUUAUUCUACUUUUUCUCAUAAUUUCAUGAAGAGAAAGAAGUAUCAUAUUUGCUAUUAUUUUUGUCGAGAAAUUUUUUUUGAUUAAAAUAAUAUAUUUAUACUUUUAUUUAAAGAAUCUUUUAAUUUUUUUCCACUCUUUCAUUUACAAUAUAUAAAAGUAAAUAAAUAUUUAAAGAAUUAAAUUUAGAAGAAUAUUUUAGUGAUCCUCUUAGAUUUACUUAGUGUCUGUUUGGUAUAAUUUAUGUAAUUUUCAUAAGUAUUUAUUUAAUUUCAUAAAUUCUUAUCAUAAUUUUUGUUACUGUUUAUUUUUUUUAGAGAUUUUACAGUUUAAAUAAGUUAUUUUAUUUCUACUAGUAAAAUCUCAAAUUAGGAGUAGAGAUUGAAUUUUUUUUAAAUAUUAAAAUAUCUAAAAUAUUCCGUACUUAUUUGACAUUCUUUUCAUAACAUAACUUUAAAAAUUUACCGAUUAAAAUAAUUUUAUAAAUUUUUAAUAAAUUUUUUUAUUAACAAUCAACAACUAAAAUUUUUUAAGUAAAAAUUUUAUUUAUAAAAAUUUUGUUAUCGAAAACUUUAUUUAAAUAAAUUUUAUUUAAAAAAUUAUAUUAAACGGAGUCUUACCUCGCGAAUCGUGAUACCACAACUAUUUUGAAGAAAUCGAAGAAUGGAAAGAAUUGAAAAGGCAAAACCGCAUUGUAAAAGAGGACGUGGAUCAACGUACCGAGGCCACUAAUGACAAAUAACUACACAUUUUGAAGUAGACUCUCAGUAUCUACCUAACCUAAACAGGUACAAAAAUCUUUUAUUUUUUUGAUCUCACUACGUUACGUUUAACAUAACAUACAUUCACACACAACAACAAUUUUCAUAAUAAGAUCCAUAACUAUUACUAUAUGUGACAAUUAUUACUAUGUGUGACGUAGCCUUAUUUUUUUUAACAAUAGGUGCAGAUACGUACGAAUGCAUUAAUUAAUGAAAAGCAGAGGGUAGAAGAAAACAAAGCUACGUCGGCAGACACGUUGCAGUAGGGAUUCUGGAAUGCAUUAAUUAAGGGGCCUUAAGUAUUCAAUAGUCAAAGAAAUGAGAAGGCAGAGCGUAGAAGAAAACAAAGCCACGUCGCCAGACACGUUGCUGAAGGGAUUAUGGAAUGCAUUAAUUAAGGGGUCUUAAAUAUUAAGUAGUGACAUCCUUUUUGUGUUUUUCCAUAAGAAGAUGCUGGAAUGCAUUAAUUAAGAGGCCCACUGUGAUUAAUUCAUAACUACUAGUAAUUUGUUUGUAUUCGAGUUGCUCCUUUGUAUAACUAGACGUGAAAAUGAGUGAUUGGUGGGGCGGUGGAGUCGAGGGUGCUAAGAGCAACAAAAACAAAUUCUGAAGCAAUUGUUCUGACUCUUGAGUGCUUAUAUUUAUUUCAUUAAUCUCGGAAGAUAUGGCGUCUCAUAAGGUGCCUGGUAAUCGCAAAUUGAUAGGUUCUAAAUCAGAAUACUAUUUUAUGCUUUAUGCAGGUACUGAAGAAGUGAAGAGCUACGACCGGAUUGAUUUUGGUAUGUUUGGUCGGAGUUGGGCUCCCAUUGUUUCUUGGGCCGUGAUAGUUGUUCCCCACGAGCCGGAGAGUAAUUGGAGAAAAAAUUUACCUCCUCCAAGUGUCAAUAAUAUGGACCCCGCUAGCUCGCUUUGUGUUAUUACAUCUGGUUCUUCUAAUGGUUAUAAGCCUAUAGGUGAUGAUAAAAAGGAUCGUCCUUUUCAUGGCGUUAGAACUACAGUUCCAUUGAACAAAUUGAAAUAUGAUCGUGAAGUGUUGCGCGGAGGUUCUCUUGUUUUGGAGAUUAAUCUUUUAGAGGUUUUUCACGGAGGAGAUGUUGUGGAUUCUGAUCAUACUUUUGAUGGUCAAGUGUUUUGGAACUUGUACUCGAAUUGAAUAUUGUACGGUGAGAUAAGUUGAUGUGUGUAUUAAUGGUAUUAUCUAAUAUAAACAUAGGAUUGGACAUAUAGUUGUGUCAAUGUAUUGUGUAAUUUAACUACCUCUAGAUAAUAUUAUCGUUUGUGUAAUGAUUGUAAUUGAUGUUUUGUUGGAGGAUCCUUUAGUAUGCUUAUAAAAAGGAUUCAAGUGUGUUGUAACGAGCAGAGCUCUUCUAAGUCUAGUCCAUAAAUAAAUAAAAGAGUUGACUAUAAUGUAAUAUUGUGGGGUCUUCUACUGUGUCUAUAAAAGGAUCCAAGUGUGUUGUAAUAUGAGUAGAGAUUCAUGAAUUUAGUCUAUAAAUAAAUUAAACAAGUGUUUUAUAUAGUCCUUUUAUGAACAUGUAUGGUCUCAUUUCCUUCAUAAAGCAAUGUAUAGCCGUUGUGACAAAAUCUUAUUACUCAAGUUUACUCAUGAAUCCUUUACACAAAUGUUACAAAUGUAUAAUAACAAAAUUGAAAAGUCAUUUUCACACGUUACAAAUAUAUACUAACAAAAUUGAAAUAACAUUAUUACAAAUUAGAACAAUAUGUAAUAACAAAAAAUAAAUAAAUAAACUCGAGGCUUGUAAAGUUAAUAGUUUAUUUAAAAAAAAUUAGAACAAUAUGUUUUAUAUAUUACUGGUGAAGAUGAAGAAGAGAUUCGAAUAACAAGAAAUAACUUAUUAGUUCGCUUCUAGAUGAAAAAGCUUGGUUAGCUUAAGCACUUCCUUGGUCUAGAAGUUAUCGAAUAGAAGAAGGGAUAUUUCUUUACCAACAAAAUUAUGCCAAAGACUUGCUGAAGAAGUUUGAAAUGAUGGAAUGAAAACUAAUCUCAACUCCAUUGGAAGUAAAUGCAAAAUUGUGCACACACGAAGGCAGAGAUUUACAAUAUAGAACAAUGUAUCAACAAUUGGUAGGUAGUUUAAUCUACCUUAUGCUGAAUCAACCGAAUAUUUCAUAUGUCGUAGGUGUCAUGAGUUGGUAAAUGCAAAAUCCAAAGAAGCUUCACUUGGAAGUAGUUCUGUGAAUACUAAGAUAUGUGAAGAGUACAAACAAUUAUGGUUCAUUGUGCAAGAAAGAUGAAAUUACAAGCUGACUAGCUAUUGUGACGCUGACUACGCCGGAGAUCAUGAUACAAAAAGAUUAACUACUAGGUAUGUUUUCAGAAUUAGGUCUAGAGUAGUUUUUUAGUGUAGUAAGAGACAACCAACUGUAUCACUAUCAACCACAGAGGCAGAGUAUAAAACAACAGUGAUGACAUCUCAAAAAAGCACUUGGUUGAUGUAGUUGAUCAAGGAUCUACACCAACUAGUAGAUUAUGUAUGCAAUACCACUGUAUUGCGAUAAUCAAUCGAUAAUCAACUUGGUAGAAAAUCUAGUUUUCCAUGCAAGAACUAAGCAUGUAGAGGUCCAUUAUCACUUCAUCAGGGAAAAUGUCUUACAAGAUAAAGUUGAGAUGCGGUACGUCAAGACAAACAAUUAAGUUACGGAUUUUUUUUUUUAUAAAAAGUCUUUGUACCAUGAAGUUUAAAAAGUUUCGUCAGCAGCUCAAUAUGGAUCGAAUGAUGAAACUUGGUUUUGAGGGGGAGUGUUAAAAGUGCAACACCAAUUUUAUGAUCCAAUUAAAUAACAUUUGUCCAAAUCCAAGUUCAUAACUCAAUCCAUAGAAGACUUAAGAAUUGUGUAGAGAACAUGGGACAUUUCUAAUCUAAAAAUAUUUAAUGAUGAUGAAAAUAUCUUAUUUUAGAAAUCUCUUGAACGGUGAUAUUUAUAAAAUGUGAUUGUUAAAUUUUUAUAAUUUAAUGUUUUGUGUGGUUUGUAUUAGUUUUAGGAUACUAUAAAUACCGCUAAACUCUUUGUUGUAGGCAUCAAGAGAGGAGUGAAGAAUUAGUAGGAAGAAAGAAGAGUGAGCCGUGAGUAUCGUAGUGUUUUUCUUAUAAAAUAUCAAUAAAAUCCUUUAAUUUAGUAAAAUACUUCUAUUUCUUAAAUAUUUUCAGUCUUAAGCAGCUUCGUCCUUCUUUCUCAACAAAAGCAUUCCAUUUAGUAUAUGAAAAGAAAGUUGUGAGUUUGUGAAGAGAGAAUAAUUAGAAUAUCUUUUGCAAUUGUUAUUUUCCCAAUUUUAAGUAACAGAGUUGCUUUCUCCUAGUAUAAGAGAGAUUGUAAUUGUUCUAUCCUUGUAUUCAAAGAAAAUUGUUAUAAUCCUCAUUUGAAUAGUGAAUUCUUUCUACUUUUGUUGUGGAUUUUUAACCCGGUUUAUUUGGAAUUUUUUCCACUUAAAAUUUGUGUGUCCCAUAUAUCUUCAUUUGUUCUUAAUAUCACUUUGGUUUCGGUCUGAUACGGUCCUUAAUUUCCUAAUAGAAAACAACCGAAACCAUCCAAUAACGAGAGUGAUCUCUGAAAGCUCCAUUGCAGAACAUGGAUAACCGCUGCUUCGGCCAUCUGUAUUAACUUUUACCCAGCCAUGCACUAUCGGGCAAAUUUUAGCAAAAUAUUGAAAAUGAGAGGUAUAACCAACUUGUAUUAGAUGAAAGGAGGAUGGGGUGUUUUCAUAUCGUAGCUCUGUCACGGCAUCGAUGUGAAGAAGAUGAGUUGGUCAUGUCUAAUUAACAAAAAAAAAAAAAAUCCUUUCUGCUAAUCCCAAUUUCAAAGCUUUCUUGUGUCGGACUUUAAUUCUAACUUUGUAAUAUCACACUUUCAAUGGUUAUUUUACCUUUAUAUUCACUAUUGACUUAUAGGGGUGAAAUGAAUAAUUAAAACUCUAUUAUGGAUAUAAAUAACAAAAAAGAAAUUUAUGUGUCGCGGAACUGGUACUCAUAUGAAAAUAACAUUUGACAAUAUCGAACCAUUGGAGCACUAAAUAAAUUAUAGCAUUAUAUAAAAGGGGAUUUGAAUACAUGCUCAUGUUAUGCCCUACGGACUUUCUUUUGUAUUUGUUGGCAAAAAUUUGCAGAUCGUAGAUAUUUGCCCCUAAGGUAACAAAACUGCAAAAGCAUUUCGUGGGUAACAAGUACUCGGGCUUUUAUCUAGAAUAUCUUUAUUCUUCCAUACCAAUAAAUCACUUAGAUUUUAUGGGCUACGGAUGGAAAUUGUUAAAUUCAUUAUUUAUAGAGUUUGUAUUUUAUAGCAAGUCUAGUUAAAUUGGAAUUUUAUUUAUUGUAUAUUUUGUAAUAGUGAUUAAUUUAUUAAUUCCCUAAUUUAGUGAGAUUUCAAUUUAUUAAGAAUAUUUAUUUCCUAAUUUAAUUAGAUGGCUAACUUAAAAAGUCAAUUAAUGAUGUGAUUCUAUAAUUGGCGCAUGAGCUCUAUUUUGAGUAUGAAGUCAGUUCAAACAUGAAGUUUAUUAAAUGAUUUAGAUAUUUCUUGGGAGACAAGCAAUGUAAGAAAAUUAGAUUUAUUCCUAUUCAGAUUCAUAGGAAUUAUAAAAGAAAAUAAACUCUUAUUUGGAAAGAAUCAAAAUCUUUUAAGAGUUAUUAUUUUUGUGAAAUCCUAGUGCCUAUAUAAAGAGAGGUAUUUCACAAUUGAAGGUGUGCAACACGGAGCACAAAGCAGGGAAGCAAAAUUCGGCAUUCUCCCUAAAGAAUCCUAAUUUGGCACAUAAUAUUGUGUUGAUUUAUUUACUUAUCUUCUUUUCAUAUUUGUGUAGAGUCUAUGUGAAUUUUGGAUCACUAGACAUUAAAAAAUUAAAUAAUUGUUAUUGAUCACUUUGCGAAGUGCGUUAAGUAUCGUGGAUCAAGAGGGGUAGUAAUUAUUUAAGAGAAGCAAAUUCAGUCUGUACAAUGAUAAAAUGUAAAUGAGAGUUUUAAGUUUGAUAAAUCUAUGGUUGUAACAUCUCAACUUAGUGAAUUACUUUUCAUCUGAGCUUGACCUCGUGGAUGUAGAAUUAAUUAAUCUGAAUCACGUAAAAAUCUCCGUACCAUUUAAUUUCUGUAAUUUAUUGUAUUUUUGAAAAAUUAAUAUUUUGAUGCGGAUAAACAAUAACCGUAAACAUUAACUAUAAACAAUAAGCGUAAACAAUAAUGAUGAAUAGUAAUGGUAAACAAUAUUUCCGAAAGUUAAUUAAGUUGUUAAUUUUAAAUUUUUAAUUACCUACAUCUAAAUUGCCUACAUUUAGUGCAAUUUUGAAAGGUAUUAAAUUGGCAGCGGACUUGGGGUUUCUUCCGCUACUGAUAGAGUCCGAUUCAGUUAAUGUCAUUAGUCUCAUCUCAGGAAAAAUUAACAGCCAAUUAGAGAUUGAUUGGCUAAUAUCUGAUAUUAAAAGUUUUAUUUGUAAGAAAAGUGUUUGCUAUAAGACACAUUCCCAGAUCCGGUAAUUCAGCAGCUCACAAAGCUGCAAAAAUGGCUCUUGAUCAUGCUGAGUCGCGCACAUGGUUACAGGAUGCGCCUCCUGACAUUGUACCUCUCUUGUAAUGUUAUGGUGUAAUCAAUGAAAAUUUUAUUGUAAAAAAAAAAAUCCUUUCAGAAAUUAAUAUAUACUAUUUUAAUGUGGAAAAUCCCUUCAGAAUUAGUUCGAUAAAUACAAUAUUCAUCCAGUUACCGCAGGCUAAUAAUGCUCAUCCUGGAUAACUCAUGUCGCUUUUUACAUAUGCUGUAAUCUAAUUGGUGUGAUUAUCUUUGUAGGCCUACCUUCUCACUUGGCCAGAAUCGAGGUUAUAUAUGGUCAUGCAAUUAUACAUGAAAAAAGAAUAUCUUUCCAGUAGUUCAUUUUCCCUUUCACAUAGAGCGUACUAAGGAUAUAUAUAUCGGAAACCUGAGAAAACUAAUGAGAUAUUUGAAGGUUAAAGGGGAAGCCGGCUCCGUUAUUAAAAGCAAACUUCUUUAUUUAUUUAUAGACUAGAGUCAAGGAGCUUCACCCGUUACACACUUGAAUCCUUUUUCUAGGCACCAUAAAGGAUCCCAACAAUUAUACAUUACAAGUCAUUACCUUUAUUUAUAGACCAGACACAAGGCGCUCUGCCCAUACAACAUACUUGGAACAUUUUUAAAGGCACACUAAAAGACCAUCCACAACAAAACAUUGAUUCGAUCAUUACACUGGAGGUCGCCUUUUCAUCGGAAAUUGAGAUUUACCUUACCAAGAGGUAAUAUCAACGUUACACAAAACAUGACAUAUAACCAUGUCUAACCUUAUAUCUAGAUUAGAUUACACAGUACACACCAGCUUAAUUAUCUUACAGUAGUAUUCAAUUGGAAUACAAAUGCCAAUACAUUUUACCAUCGAAAGUAUGAUCAGAAUCCAGAACAUUUCCAUGAGGUACCUCUAUAAGAUUAAUCUGCAAAACAAGAGAACCUCCUUCCUGCACAUGACGAUCUUUAUACAGUUCAUCUAAUUGAACCAUAGUUCUAAGGCCAUGAAUAGGACGAUUUUUAUCAAUAGGCCUAUAACCAUUAGUAUAACCAGAUGCAACAACAUCAAAAGAUACUUCAGCAUCCAUAUUAUUGGCGGCUGCAGGAGGCAGAUCUCCUCUCCAAGCAUCCUCGUUAGCUCUGGGAACAAAUAGGACGGCCCAGGAAACAAUAGGAGCCCAACUUCGACCAAACAAACCAAAAUCCAUCCUAUUCAAGUCCUUCAAAACACCAGGAUCUGCAUAACGCAGAAAAAAGUAGUCUGAUUUAAAACCUAUCAAUUUUCGCUGAUCACACGCCAUAUCUUCCGUGAUUAAUGAAAAAUAAGCGCUCAGAAUCAGAUCACUUGCCUCAGAAAUUAUUUUCGUUGCUCUGUCACUCUUUUUUCUGCUGCCGUCCAAAGACAUUUUCACGUCUAUUUAUGCAAGGGAGGAAUUCGAACACAAACAAAUCACAAAUAAUUAUUAAUUAAUUAUAAUAGGACUCUUAAUUAAUGCAUUCCAGCAUCUCCUUCUGCAACGUGUCUGGCGACGUGGUUUUGUCUUCGUCUGUGCUCCGCCUUUCAUUUCUUGGAUAUCUUCAUCAUAGGUAUUAGAGCCAAGUUAAGGUUAGGUAGAUGAUACAAGUCCUCUUCAAAAGGAUUUUGCUAGUAUUAGAGCCUAGUAAUGUAAGAUAUAAUCUCUCGUAAAAUUGUGGGCCUAAGUGGAACCUACAACUAAAUUUGUAUGAGACUGUACCUUACAUUACACGCUUCCUUUAACAAUUGACACAUGUUAAUUAAUGCAUUCCAGCAUCUCCUUCUGCAACGUGUCUGGCGACGUGGUUUUGUCUUCGUCUGUGCUCCGCCUUUCAUUUCUUGGAUAUCUUCAUCAUAGGUGUUAGAGCCAAGUUAAGGUUAGGUAGAUGAUACAAGUCCUCUUCAAAAUAGCUCUCUGUCACAAGUGGUUCCGGUACGUAGAUCCACGUCUUCUUUUGCAGCGUGGUUUGGCCUUUUCAGUUCUUCUCAUUCUUUGAUUUCUUCGAAUAGUUAUCUGCAUCGUGUUUACAGGUUAGGUAAGACUAAGGAUUGGGUUCUCACAGUUCUAAUAUUUUGAUUGGACCAUCCUGCAUCUAUCUCUUAUUUAGUUUAGCAUGACUUAUUUAACAUCAUAAAUAUUUCUUUAAUUUUAUAAUUUUUUAAAUAUUAAAUAAAUUAUUUUUUUAUUAGUAAAAUUUUAAAUUUUGAGUUUUUGAAAAUAGAUUGAAAAAUAUUUUUAAAAUAUUAAAAUAUUAAAAAUAUUAUUUAUUUAUUUAAUAAUUUUAUUUCAUUCAUUUUAUAACAUAAAUUUAAAAAAUUACCUAUUAAAAAAAAUUAUAAUUUCUUAAUAAAAACUCUUAUUGAUAGUCAAAUACCUUAAAGUUUUAGUAACAGUUUGCUUGUAAAAGAUUUAUUAACAAAAGUUAUGCCGAAAUAAAUUUUAUUUGAAAAAUUAUAUCAAGGCUUGAUUUGGUAUCAAAAGAAAAUUAUCAUACACUUAUAUUUUUAUAUUAUCAUUUAAAACUGAAGAGAAGAGUAAAGAAAGAUCAAACCAGAGUGAAGAAAGGUUAACAUAAAAUGAAAGAAAAGCCUCGGGCAUUAUACUAUGAUUUGGGAGAAUGAUGCGUUAUUUAGUUUUGGUGGGUGUAAAAGGAAAACGAAGCUUAAUAAUAUGAGCUUAAAACUCAAUUAAAAUGAGUUUAAUGAAGGGUAGUUUUAGCAUUUUAAAGUGCGAUCAUAGUUAAUUUUAAUUUUUGUAACUUAUUGAAUAAACUAUUUGCAAUGAAUUAAGAAAAGUAAUCAAUAACUAUAACAAUAAAAGUAAUGAUUACUGAAACGACCCAUCUCGAACUUCAAGAGCAAAUCUAUCUAAUUUCUUUUAACGUGAUUAGUAAAACUUAUUAAUAAGGAUUUUGCUAAAAUUUUCCAACAUGCAAAUCUUCAAAACAAACACUUUCAAAAUAAUUCAAUACACAACAAACUUCAUUGUUCAACCUUCUCAACCAUGAUAUUGAAUAUCACCUAAACACUUAUAAAGUAUCAAAAGAUUAUGUUAUAGCUAAUGUCAACAUAUAUUAAACAUUCAUAAUCAUCAAAUCAUAAUACAAUUAUACAAUCCAAAAUGAGAUGAUCUAAUUCCCUAAUAAUAUCAUUUAUAUCUUUUAGCACCAUCACGUGGCCAAAAUUCAAAAACACUACAGUCGUUGGGUCGAUUAAUGUAUCCACAACCUUCUGUGGGGGAAAAGUAUAGUAAAAUGGAAUGAAUAUAAAACUCAACGAGUGAAUAAUAACUUUUGAAAAUAAUAUAUUUUAAAAUAAUUAUAUCUUUUCAAUAUACUAUUUUCAUCAAACUAUAAGUAAGAACAUAGAUGAAUUAUUCGAACUUUAAAUCAAACAACUAUCGUUUUAAUUUUAAAGUGCGAUCGUAGUAAAUUUUUAUUUUUUUAAUUUAUUGAAUAAACUAUGUACAAUCAAUUAAGAAAAAUAAUCAAUAACUAUAACAAUGAAAGUAUUGAUUACUGCAACGACCCACCUCAAACUUCGAGGGCAAGUCUAUCUAAUUUCUUCUAACGUAAUUAGUAAAACUUAUUAAUGAGGAUUUUGCUAAAAGUUCGUCGACAGAGUGCCCCCCUAUAUUUAUAAAAUUUCUAACAUGCAAAUCUAAACGCUCCCAAAAUAAUUCAAUACACAACUAACUUCAUUGAUCAACCUCCUCAACCAUAAUACUGAAUAUCACCUAAACACUUCUAAAUUAUCAAAAGAUUAUAUUAGAGCUAAUGUCAACAUACAUUAAACAUUCAUAAUCAUCAAAUCAUAAUACAAUUAUACAAUCCAAAAUGAGAUGAUCUAAAUGCACUAAUAAUAUCAUCUAUAUCUCCUAGCACCAUCAUGUGGCCAAAAUUAAAAAAAAAAACAAAUACUACAAUCACUGGGUCGAUUGGUGUACCGUAACCUUCUUUAGGGGGAAAGUAUAAAAAAAUGAAAUGAGUAUAAAACUCAAUGAGUGGAUAAUAGUUUUUGAAAAUAACAUAUUUUAAAAUAAUUAUUUCUUUUCAAUACACCAUUUUCAUCAAACUAUAAGUAAGAACAUAGAUGAAUUAUUCGGACUUUAAAUCAAACAACUGUCGUUAAAAGAAUACAUGAUAUUAUACAUAAUAUACAAGGAAAUCAUAUCAAAAUAUAAUAUAAAAUACUUGAUUAUGAAAUUGUCACUAAAUAGUACCUAAGUAAAUAAUCUUGUCAUUCUCGCACCUCUUAUCGAUGGUGAAAUGACGUACUAUCUGAGUACUAUCAUGUCCGGAGCUAGAACGAGUAGACCAAUGGCAUGCUAUCUCAUAUAUCUCAUCAUAUCUCCUUAUAUUUCAUGUAAAAAACAAUCCCUACAGGACAAAAACACCCAAGCACACAACCCAAAAUCUUUGUGUAUAUUCAGACGGGACCCAAAGAUCUCUAGCUCAACUAUAAUCUCUACAACUGAAUCUAUAUCUCUGUAUCUCAAACUGUAUCUGGAGGGGAGGAGUAUUGUCAAAUGAUUUUAAAAACAAACUCUUAUACACUUGUAGAUAAACAUAUAAUCAUACUUUAAACUUCAUUUCCUUUUUCAUUAACAUACUGUAAAUCUAUUUUUCUUUUCUUUAAAAUACUCUUAUGCGUUUACUCAACAUAGAGAAGCAAAAGUAAUCAUCAAACACGUUUUAACAAUAUAUUAAUACAUAAAUAAAAAUCAUUUAUAAAACCAUUAAAUCAAAACAUUAAACUCUUGUUUCGUAUGCAUGCGUUACUUUACUUAAUUUAAAAAUCAUAAUAAAUUAUAAAAAUGGGUUUAGUAUAUUCCAUUUGCAAUGAUGAUGCUCAAGCUCAACUAUUAUCGACAUCCGCAGAUUGACUCACGUUUAUGGCUCCUCUAAAUUGUGGAACGACAUAAUUACUUUUUGAAUAUAUGAAAUACAACUAGCUUUAAGCAAGAUAGCUCUCAAUGAAUAUUUAUCCCACAAUGUACAACUCCCGAAACCAUACUUGUAAGAUAAAAAUGACCAUAAUAUACUCAAAGCCAUAAUUUACACCUUAUACAUAAAAUUCCAUACUCCUUAAAUUUUUCAUAUGUUAUAAUACUAAUAAAUCUUCCACAUUAUCAAAAAUCUCAUAAUUAACCAUAACCUACCUAAACAUGAUGCAUAACUAUAAGCUAUUUACAUACCGAAAUGAGGGAACGAUGAGGGCUACGCGUUUCUAGGUGUACAAUGCCUCAUUGGUGCCCUUGUGCAUCUAUAAUAAUCCACUAGUUACAAAAAUUAGCUUGGGACAAUUUUUACCCGUUUGUUAGAAACCUUAACUAUAAAUAAAGUAUACAAAUUUUUAAAUUAACUUCAUUCCCAUGAGAUCCAACUUCGAAUAAAGAUAACAUGAUAGAAAUAUUACUUCCUUUGGUGAGAAAAACCAACUUGGAAGCUUGAUUACUUCCUUCUCACUUAAAUCCCCUCUCUACACUUACAUUUAAAUUCCUCUUUAAUGGAUGUUUUCAAAAGAAUUUAGGGACGGAAACACUCUAGAAUAACUCUCCAUUCCAAGCUUUCCAAGAUCCAAACUCAAACUUUGAAAAAUUUCCCCAUUUUUCUCCUCUUUCCCAUUGCUCCUCUUCUCCUUUUCUUUUUUGCCUUUUUUUUUUUCAAAUCAAUACAUAUAAAAGCCAAUGGAGACUAACAGGCUUUCAAGUAAGGGUGGAUGUUCAGAUUGGUAUUUGUUUUAUUCUUUAUUAAUCUGGCCUGGAUUUGAGAUUCUGGAACUAUAAGUGGCUGGUUACUGGGAAAUUUUUCGAAAAUGAAAUUUUUGUAACCUAAAUUGGACCCAAACUGAAAUUGAGACCUAAAUUUUCAAACCGAACCAAUCCAAAGUGUGAUCCCAAAUAGAACCGAGUCGAACUAAAUUCGGUUCGGUUCUGUUUGGGUUCAUGUUUUGAACCUAAUUGGGUUGAAUACUCUAACCCGAUCAGGUUGUAACCUAACUGGAACUCAAACAACCCGAAUCGAAACCCGAUAUGCCCACCCCUAUUUUAAAGCCUACAGACCAAUGGAAGAAAUGGAAAGAAAAAAUAUGUUAUAGUUAUUAACUUGAUUCUUGGGUAUUAUAAUCUCAAUAUUUAACAUGAUGUUGUUUCUCAUAUUAGUUUCUAUCUUCUGUGUUGAGACCUAGAGUCUUAUUCAAGUUGGCAUCUUGUAAGGAUUGGCAUUCUUAUUGAAUUGUAAUUCAUAAAUUGAAGGCUAUGUUAAUUGGGAGAUUUCUUAAUUUAGUUAUUUUCUUAAAAUUAGGAUUUAAGUCUUUUCAUUUUAAGGAUUUACUUAGAACACAAAGAGUCUAAUUUUGGAAGCAAAUCAAAAUUUAAAAAAAAAAAAAAAGGCUCUCUAUAACUUGUUAUAGAAGUUAUUCAUUGAAGAUAGUUCAUCACAAGCAGAAAAAUAGAAUUUUAAGGUGGAUGAACAAUGCUAUAAAUAGUAUUAGAUGAACAAUAUUAGUUAAUAGUGUCUAUUGAAACUAUUCAUUGAACUUUAAUCUUUAUAGGGUACACGCUUAUUUAGUCUCUAUAUUUUCACUCAAAUAUAUGUUUAGUCUCACAUUAUAAAAUAUAUCUCAAAACACUCAUAUAGUUAAAUAUGUUACAUUCUUAACCUUUUUUGGUUUUAUGAUAACACCCUUCAAACAAUAUUCUUGACAUGAAUUAAGGUAUCUAUAAAAAAAAGUUAAUUAGCAUCUUAACCAAUAAUUAAUUAUUAGCAAAUUAAUUAACAAAUACCACUGUGAAAGAACUAAUAUUUUUAUACUCUUGCAACAAUCUUACUAAUAAUUAUUUAUAAAUAAAUUAAUAUUAGCCAACUUAAAACAAUGUUUAUUAAUAUCUUUACAACAAUUUUAAUAAUAUUUUUUUUAUAAAAAUUAAUUUACUAAAUUAAUUUUAAAAGAAAAAUAAUAAUAUAAAAGUUUGGGUAAAUUUUUAUGUUACUUUUAAGAUAAAUUUUGGUAAAUUAACAAUUUUUAUUGAUAUCCCAAGAAUAUUGUUGCAAGAGUGUUAUCAUAAAAAGAAAAAUAUUAAGGGUAGGAAUGAAACAUAUUUGACCUCAUGGGUGUCUUGAGAUGUGUCUCUCUGUGUGUAACACUUAAAUCAAAAUAUAGGGAUUAAAUAAGUAUUAACCUAUUUUAUAUUCAUCCCACUCUUAGACAUACUUUUGGUGCGUUUGUGAUUAAGGUUGAGCAGCUGUAGCUUUUAAGCUACAAUAGUAAAGUGUUUGGUAAACACUAGCUGUUGUACCUUGAAAGUUAUGUUAAUAUGAUUUUUCACUUGUAUAAUAAAAAAUCUAUUAUAUCUUUAAUGAUUUUGUCAAAAUUAUUAUUUAAAAUUUAUAUUUACUAUAUAUUAUUGAUUUUUGUUUUAUAGUUACAGUUUUUUUUCCACAGCAGUUGUAGCUUAAAAGUUAUAGUACCUCAAUCCCAAACAGGACCUUUGUUAAUUGGUCUCUCUUCGUUAAUUGGUCUCUUCCAAAAAAGAUGUUGUUUGGAGCAGUUAAGGAAUUUCAUAUCAAGGUUAUGAACAAGAAGACGAAUGGUUCUCGCAAAUUACAUAUGCCUUAGUUGACUGAGAUGGUGGCAAAAGUAAAUUUUCCUACAUAUUAAAAUACUAAAUGUGAUAUAAGAACCAACUAUAAGUAAGUUAAAUUGAUGAUUUGGUAUAAUUACAAUAAUUAUUAUUUUUAAUUGAUAUGUGGGUUGAAAUGGCUAUAUAAUCAUUCUUAAGUGCGAGCAUCCAUAUUUUUUUGGGAAAAGGACAAACACACCCCCAACGUUUAGGCAAAGGGAUAAAAAACCUCCUAACGUUUUAAAAAAGACAUUUACACCCCAACUUAUUAUAAUUUUACCAUUAUACCCUUCUAGCAUAUAAAAAAAUUAUUAGAUUAUCUAAUUUGUCUAUAUAUUGUUAAUAAAAUUAUAAAUAGAAAAAUUGGAUAUUAUAAAAAAAAUUAUAAAUAUACCCUCAUUGCCCAAUUCUUCUAUUUAAAUUUUUAUUAAUAACCAAUUUUCAAAAAAGACAUCUAUACACCUAAAAAAUUGUAAAUAAAUUAUAAUUUUAAAAAUAAAAUUGGUUAUUAAUAACCAAUUUUAUUUAAAAUUUAAACUUGUAUAUUUAACAAUUCUCCACAUGUCAAUCAUUUAAACCAGUACAUUUAUAACCAAUUUUCUAUGUUAUUUAUUAUGGUAUUAAUAACCAAUUUUAUUUUUAAAAUUAUAAUUUAUUUACAAAUUUUUUUUAAGUGUGUAGAUGUCUUUUUUGACAAUUGGUUAUUGAUAAAAAUUUAAAUAGAGGAAUGAGGUAAUGAGGGUAUAUUUAUAAUUUUAUUAACAAUAUAUAGAUAAAUUUGAUAAUCUAAUAAUUUUUUUUAUAUGCUAGAAGAGUAUAAUGGUAAAAUUAUAAGAAAUUGGGGGUGUAAAUAUCUUUUUCAAAACGUUAGGGGGACUUUUGUCCCUUUACCUAAACGUUGGGAGUGUGUUUGUCCUUUUCCCUAUUUUUUUAAUACCGAUUCGCUCUUAAACUGUAUAAUUAAAAAAGAUAAAUUUUAAAAUAAAUUAUAAUACUGUCCUAUUUAAAAGAGUUAAAAACUAACUCUCUUUAAUUUCACAGCUUAAAAACAUAGCCAAAAAGAAAUUUUAGGGUGCCGGCAUUGAAAAAAGACACACAUAAUGCUUAUCAAAUCUAAGAUUAAAAUUCGGAAUUAAAAUUUGAGACGGAUAAAAAAUAUCGUAAAAGUAAUUUAGGAUGCCAUAAAUUCAUACUGGUGUCUAAUUCUAAACUUUAUCUCCAGAUUUCAAACAUUCAUCGCUUUGUGGCCCCUAUUUUCUUUAUUUUUCUAACUUUCUUCCGGUGGCGGAGCCCACCAUUGGAAGAGUUAAUAUUUUUUUUUGACAUUUUUUUCAUUGUCUAGCCCACCACCUUGUUUGACUCUUCUCUGGAAAAAGUUGCUUCUCUAUAUUUUUUUUCAGAACUUGACUAGCUUACAGAAUCUGUAAGCUACAGACUGCAGCAUCAGCCGUUGGAUGUGGAGUGAGAAACUAAACAAUAGAAGAUCGGACGGUGGGAUGACGGGAGAUGUUAGACAGGUCCUUUUUUUCAAUGCCGAACCUGCCGAGCCCACCAACCUGUUCUCAUUUUUUUUUUUUUUUUUUUCGCAAACCCUUACAUACAUUUUAUAUAUCUUACACCAAACAAUGAAUGGACGCCACACUACUCACUGUGUGAGUGGUUGUAAUAUAUAUUAAGGCCAUAUUUGCUUGGGGGUUGAGAAGUGAGGAGAGGAAAAGAAUUUAAUUUCUUUUAUACUUUUCAUUGUUUGGUUAGACUAAAUUUAAUGGAAUUGAAUUUUCAUUGAAAUUUAAUUUCCAUCAAUUUGAAAAAUUUGUAUUCCUUAUCAAUGACUAAGGAUUUCAAAUUUCUUAUCUAUUUAAACACAAAAAUUCUAAUAUUAUCCUCUAAACAAAAUCAAUUUUAAAUAAAUGAAAGUAUAAAUAAUUUAUAUUUAUUUUAUUAAAUUAAUAGGAUAAAAUUAUUUGAUAAAAAAAAAAAUAGUAAAGUGACUCGCCGGAAAGUCACCGAAGACUCGCUGGAGUUUCGCCGGAGAUGCGUUUUUCCAUCAAAACCGGUACCAAUAGAAUCCUCAUGAGCCGAUCUACAACUUUAUGGGGUUAGAAAUGCUAAUAUACAUUGUUAUUUACCUCAAGUCUUGUUUAAAUACUUGAGAAAAUUUUAACUCAACUAUAUAGUGUAUUUUCUUCAAAAUUAACAUUUAAAAUGAGUAAAUCGUCCAUUUUUUUAAUAAUUAUUAUGCAUUUAACGCGAUGAAAAAUGGUAGUCAACGAUGGUUAACGGCGCCGGUCAAUGACGAUCAACAGAGGUCAAUGCGGCAGCUGUUCAUGGCCAAAUGCUGUAAUUUUUAAAAAAUAAAUUUUUUAUUAAAUUAAGUAAUUUUUAGAUUAAAUUAAUUCAUAGUUUUAUUAUGUUUUAAUUUAUUAACAAUAUUAACAUUAAAGAUAGUGGGUAUAUUUGUCCAAAUAAAAAAUAUGUAAUUUCUUUUCCUUUCAAAUUUUAUGUAAAACCAAAUAAUAACAAUUAAUUUUUGCACUAUUUUCCUCUUAUCUCCUCUCCAUUUCUCUCCUUUUUUUCUCCUUUCGUCUCCUCCCUUUCUUAAAACCAAACACCACAUAAAUGUAUGUUAGAGGAAUCCUUUUCAUUUUAUUCAGGCUUUGAUUUCCUUUCAUCGGCGGGGUGGGUACUUUUAAAAAGAAAAUUAUACUUUAAAAAUAUUUUCAUCAUUUAUUUUUAAUUAAAUAUUAUAUUAUCAAAUUACUCUUUAUGAAAUUUACCGUUAUAGACAAUCAUAGUUACUAGAUACAAUUUUAUAAUUGUGUCAAAAAAAUCGUUUUUUAAUUUUUUUUUCAUUUUAAUUUUCUCCUCGACUUCACUGGUAAAUAUUUACUCUAAAAAAGAGUGGCUGUUAAAACAAAAAUAAAUAAAUAAUUGGGCAUUGGUUUGGAUAAGAUGGACAACAUUUAUUGGGACUCUAUAUCAUUGGGCGGUAGAACUUGGAGGUUGGACCGUUGCGCUUUUAAUAAAUUAAUUUGUAAGCAAUUUUUUUUUUAUUCGUUAAUAUAUUACAAUUAGAGCUCUACUGAUAUAAUCAGACGUCAAUAGGGUACUCUCCUCAAUAAUUCUAUUGUAGCACAGCUCAAAUAUCAACUCUUCGCUUAAAACUGAAGGGAGAUCUACCAUCACUAUUAAUACCGGAGGGGAAUCAAUUCUACCCCAAUGUCCAAGUUCUCAAUAAUUUUAGUGUGAACAAAAGUUCAGUUCAUGACCAUGAAAUUAAUCGGAGUUGUUCCGAUGGUUACUGCAAGAGUGUUGAUGUUUGAAGAAAGAGAGCUUGGGCAAAAUAAACUAAUUUUAGGGUAACUUUGGGAUUUUGAUGAGCGUGAUAGUAAAAAAUUAUAUUUUAAAUUUGACAGUGUAUUGAGUAAAUGAGUGUCCAAAAUAUUAUUUAGAGUAUAAAUAAUCUCACCUAAAAAAAUUAUUUACUUUAAUAAAGACACAAUAAUUUACGUGAUUUGACUUAAAAUCUACAUUUACGAGCAAAAGUUAAAAAUAACUUCAUUAAUAAAUAAAAAUUUACCAAAUUAAGAAAAAAUACCCUCAAAACUCAAAAUCCCAAUAUACCCAAUUAAACCAUUAGUAGAACACUCAAAUAAAAACUCUAUUCAAUUUCUCAAAUUACUUCCCUUAUAAUUACUUUCAACUUUCACACUUUAGGAUGAUCUUUAAAUGACAAACUGCCGCUCUGUCUAUGCCUCUAUGGGAGUGCGUGGCUCAACUAUUUCUCUCAAUUUUGGUAAUUUGUCAACUUGUUUAGUCCACCGAAUUCGGAACCCAAUCUUGUGCCGCCAUUUCUUAAAAAGCUCUCCAAAUGCAUUAAAGUGUCAAGUAUUUCAAUAACCAACUCUCUACAUUUGUUGGCAAUUUUAAAUGUAUUUAAUUCACUUUUUUUGACUUUUCAACACACAGGAUGUGGAGAAAAAUAAUUAUGUUUUCGUUCUAUUUUUUUCAAUAGUUAGUAUGAUAAUCAGCCAAAUAUAUACAACAUACCAUUCUAUAACUCUGAUACUUUAUAAUAUAUACCAAUCAAGCCCUAAGUCUAAGACUGUCUCAUAAAACUAUUAAAAAUUUUGAACCUAAUACUUCAACGCAUCACUAAAAGGUUUUUUAAAUUAGAUUUUAUUACUUAUUAACGAGUCAUAUCAAUCAAUAAAUUUUAAAAGACUUUUUAAGUGAGUUUUUUUUUUUUUAUUGAAGAGAGAAAAAAGUACUAUCUCAUUUGAAGGGUUUUUUAAAACCUUAAAUUUAUUCUACUCUUUCUCAUAAUUUCAUGAAGAGAAAGAAGUAUCAUAUUUGCUAUUGAUUUUGUAGAGAAUUUUUUUUGAUUAAAAUAAUAUAUUUAUACUUUUAUUUAAAGAAUCUUUUAAUUUUUUUCCACUCUUUCAUUUACAAUAUAUAGAAGUAAAUAAAUAUUUAAAAAAAAUUAAAUUUAGAAGAAUAUUUUAGUGAUCUUCUUAGAUCUACUGAGUGUCUGUUUGGUAUAAUUUAUGUAAUGCUCAUAAGUAUUUAUUUAAUCUCAAAAAUUCUUAUCAUAAUUUUUAUUACUAUUUAUUUUUUUUAGAGAUUUUAUAGUUUAAAUAAGUUAUUUUAUUUGUACUAGUAAAAUCUCAAAUUAGGAGUAGAGAUUGAAAUUUUUUUAAAUAUUAAAAUAUUUAAAAUAUUAUCUACUUAUUUGACUUUUUUUCAUAACAUAACUUUAAAAACUUACCGAUUAAAAUAAUUUCAUAAAUUUUUAAUAAAAAUUCUUAUUAACAAUCAACAACUAAAAUUUUGUAAGUAAAAAUUUUAUUUAUAAAAAUUUUGUUAUCAAAAACUCUAUUUAAAUAAAUUUUAUUUAAAAAAUUAUAUUAAACGGAGCCUUACCCUCGCGAAUCGCGAUACCAUAACUAUUUUAAAGAAAUCGAAGAAUAGAAAGAAUUGAAAAGGCAAAACCGCGUUGUAAAAGAGGACGUGAAUCAACGUACCGAGGCCACUAAUGACAAAUAGCUACACCUUUUGAAGUAGACUCCCAGUGUCUACCUAACCUAAACGGGUACAGUGACCUUUUAUUUUUUUUGACAAUAGAUACAGCUACGUAUGACUGAAGAAAUAAAAAAAAUAUGAAAAGCAUAGGGUAGAAGAAAACAAAGCUACCCAUUGGCUUCGUGUUGCAACUCUGCAACAGAAUGUCAAAUCGACAAUGAUAUUUCUUUGUCCAUUUUCACGUGCACAACCAUAAAAAAGAAAAAAAAUAUCACAAUUGUAUGUAUAUGCUGGUGGGUCCUUUUUCAAAUUUGACAAGAGGAUUUUAAUUUCUUAUGAAAUUUGUGUUACUUCAAAUCAUUUUAUAGAAAUUAGGGAUGGCAAUGGGAAGGGGAGGGGAGGGGACCAAUCUCAUCGUACCUAUUCCCGAUAUUUUACGUAUGUCACCGUUUCCUCCCCAUCCCCAUCAUAAUUACUUGAGAGAAUCUUUUUUCCUUCCCCGAAUAAUAACAGUGGAUUCUCGAGGGUCUCCGAUCCCCGUAUAACUAAUACAUUUUUUUUUUAUUUUUAGUUAAUUAUAUUAAAAUAAAAAAUUCAAACAAAAGUAAAGUUCGAAAUAUAUUUUACAUUAACAUUGAUCCAUUAUAAAAGUCACAUGCAAAAUACAAAUUAUCAAAAUAAUUAUCUUUGUCAAUCUUCAUAAUCCUACAAUAAAAAGAAAAAAAAUUUACUUUUAUAUCGACAAUAAAUAAAUGAAAUAAAUAUAGAUACUUAAUUAAUAUUUUUAAUAAAAUAAAAUUAAAAUUAAAACAAAAUUUUUGGGCUAAUAGAAUCUACCCGACCUUUUUAAUGUCUUAAAUAAAAAUUUAAGACUUUAAUUAGUUAAUUAGGCCUAGAAGUUUAAUAAUAUAAAUAUUUUAAUAUUUGUUACUUUUACCAAUAGUUAUAAUUUUAUAAUAUAAUUUAAAUUUUAUUAUUUAUUUACUAGUAAUUUUAAAAAAUAAAAAUAAAAUUAAAAGUUAAAAUGGGGAGAUGGGGAGGGGAUGGGGAUUCCACCUCAUCUCCGCCCCUUCCCCGAAUAAGAAACUGGGUAAAAAAAAUUUCCCAUCCCUUCCCCGAAUAAAAAAUUGGGUAUAAAAUUAUCCUCCCCGAAUAAAAAAUUGGGUAUAAAAUUAUCCUCAUACUCUCCCCAAAUGAGAAAAAUUCCCGAGAAUACCUCUCCCCGAAUGAGAAAUUGGGUAUAGAAUUUAUUCUACUUUUUCUCAUAAUUUCAUGAAGAGAAAGAAGUAUCAUAUUUGCUAUUGUUUUUGUCGAGAAAUUUUUUUGAUUAAAAUAAUAUAUUUAUACUUUUAUUUAAAGAAUCUUUUAAUUUUUUUCCACUCUUUCAUUUACAAUAUAUAAAAGUAAAUAAAUAUUUAAAGAAUUAAAUUUAGAAGAAUAUUUUAGUGAUCCUGUUAGAUUUAUUUAGUGUCUGUUUGGUAUAAUUUAUGUAAUGCUCAUAAGUAUUUAUUUAAUCUCAUAAAUUCUUAUCAUAAUUUUUGUUACUGUUUAUUUUUUUUAGAGAUUUUACAGUUUAAAUAAGUUAUUUUAUUUGUACUAGUAAAAUCUCAAAUUAGGAGUAGAGAUUGAAAUUUUUUUAAAUAUUAAAAUAUUUAAAAUAUUCUCUACUUAUUUGACUUUUUUUCAUAACAUAAUUUUAAAAACUUACCGAUUAAAAUAAUUUCAUAAAUUUUUAAUAAAAAUUCUUAUUAACAAUUAACAAUUAAAAUUUUAUUUAUAAAAAUUUUGUUAUCAAAAACUCUAUUUAAAUAAAUUUUAUUUAAAAAAUUAUAUUAAACGGAGCCUUAUCUCGCAAAUCAUGAUACCAUAACUACUUUGAAGAAAUAGGAGAAUGGAAAGAAUUAAAAAGACAAAAUCACGUUGUAAAAGAGAACGUGGAUCAACGUACUAGAGUCAUUAAUGACAAAUAAUUACACAUUUUGAAUUAGACUCCCAGCGUGACAGCGCUACCACUCUACCUAACCUAAAGGAGUACAAAAACCUUUUGUUUUUUUUGACAAUAGGUGCAGAUACGUACGAAUGCAUUAAUUAAUGAACAGCAGAGGGUAGAAGAAAACAAAGCUACGUCGCCAGACACGUUGCAGAAGGGAUUCUGGAAUGCAUUAAUUAAGGGGCCUUAAGUAUUCAAUAGUCCAAGAAAUGAGAAGGCAGAGCGUCGAAGAAAACAAAGCCACGUCGCCAGACACGUUGCAGAAGGGAUUAUGGAAUGCAUUAAUUAAGGGGUCUUAAAUAUUAAGUAGUGACAUCUUUUUUGUGUUUUUCCAUAAGAAGAUGCUGGAAUGCAUUAAUUAAGAGGCCCACUGUGAUUAAUUCAUAACUACUAGUAAUUUGUUUGUAUUCGAGUUGCUCCUUUGUAUAACUAGACGUGAAAAUGAGUGUUUGGUGGGGUGGUGGAGUCGAGGGUGCUAAGAGCAACAAAAAUAAAUUCUGAAGCAAUUGUUCUGACUCUUGAGUGCUUAUAUUUAUUUCAUUAAUCUCGGAAGAUAUGGCGUCUCAUAAGGUGCCUGGUAAUCGCAAAUUGAUAGGUUCCAAAUCAGAAUACUAUUUUAUGCUUUAUGCAGGUACUGAAGAAGUGAAGAGCUACGACCGGAUUGAUUUUGGUAUGUUUGGUCGGAGUUGGGCUCCCAUUGUUUCUUGGGCCGUGAUAGUUGUUCCCCACGAGCCGGAGAGUAAUUGGAGAAAAAAUUUACCUAAUCCAAGUGUCAAUAAUAUGGACCCCGCUAGCUCGCUUUGUGUUAUUGCAUCUGGUUCUUCUAAUGGUUAUAAGCCUAUAGGUGAUGAUAAAAAUGAUCGUCCUUUUCAUGGCGUUAGAACUACAGUUCCAUUGAACAAAUUGAAAUAUGAUCGUGAAGUGUUGCGCGGAGGUUCUCUUAUUUUGGAGAUUAAUCUUUUAGAGGUUUUUCACGGAGGAGAUGUCGUGGAUUCUGAUCAUACUUUUGAUGGUCAAGUGUUUUGGAACUUGUACUCGAAUUGAAUAUUGUGCGGUGAGAUAAGUUGAUGUGUGUAUUAAUGGUAUUAUCUAAUAUAAACAUAGGAUUGGACAUAUAGUUGUGUCAAUGUAUUGUGUAAUUUAACUACCUCUAGAUAAUAUUAUCGUUUGUGUAAUGAUUGUAAUUGAUGUUUUGUUGGAGGAUCCUUUAGUGUGCUUAUAAAAAGGAUUCAAGUGUGUUGUAACGAGCAGAGCUCUUCUAAGUCUAGUCCAUAAAUAAAUAAAAGAGUUGACUAUAAUGUAAUAUUGUGGGGUCUUCUACUGUGUCUAUAAAAGGAUCCAAGUGUGUUGUAAUAUGAGUAGAGAUUCAUGAAUUUAGUCUAUAAAUAAAUUAAACAAGUGUUUUAUAUAGUUUUUUAUGAACAUGUAUGGUCUCAUUUCCUUCAUAAAGCAAUGUAUAGACGUAGAGAUUCAUGAAUUUAGUCUAUAAAUAAAUUAAACAAGUGUUUUAUAUAGUCCUUUUAUGAACAUGUAUGGUCUCAUUUCCUUCAUAAAGCAAUGUAUAGCCGUUGUGACAAAAUCUUAUUACUCAAGUUUACUCAUGAAUCCUUUACACAAAUGUUACAAAUGUAUAAUAACAAAAUUGAAA
rnacentral:lncRNA from 1 species